UAGCCGGCCUGCUCGCCCCGGCCGCCCUGCCGGCCAGCGCCGAGACGUCCGAUCUGUUCGUCAGUGCUGUCUGCUAGAUCUGUUCUUCAGUGCGUUCGCGUUCGUCGGCAGUAGCUGUUCGUGUGACGACUGUGUCCCGUAAUAAAGUAGGAAAUCAACCGGGCUCUUGGUAGUUUGGUUCGCCGUCUGCUAGUAGGUCGUGUUUGUUGCUGCUUUGUGUGGUGAACUUGUGAUGUAGUAAUAAGGUCGUUGUUUCAGCAUGGACGUACGUGUGCACUGCAUCCCCCUCUGUCUCUGUUGGUGUGAUCGGUGUCAAAAACGCUCUUAUGACUUAUAUUAUAAGACGGAGGGGGUACAUUUUGAUGUGACCCGACGUUUUCGAAGCUGCGUGAACAUUUCAUUUUGUGCACAUGAACUACGAAAGAAUAUCUUAUGUGUAUUCAGAUUUUAUUAAACCUACUCUACAAAUCGUAUUUUCUACUUUAGAAUAAUAUAUAAAGUUUGGACACUAAAAAAGAACACAUGUGUAGACAAACAUUUCCUUGGAAGGACAAUCUGGACAGCACAUGCCUCCAGAGUUCAACCGCAUGGAAACAUUUGGGUAAAGCGCCCUCGAUGCUCCUCCAAGUGAUAAGGAUGCAUCGGUGACUCAUCGUGGGGUCUCAGAGGGCAACAGAGGAUGAACACACGUCCAUCCAAUCGCACACUAAGACCGUGUGCAAUGCAAGAUGUUUACACAGGUACUUGUAAAACAUAAACCGCCUUUUCUUACGAAUCGGUGCUUUUUUUACGGCAUAGCUGCCCAACCAAGUGAUAAUGCUAUGCAAGUAAGCAACGAUGCUUCAAAAAAGACCCCUUCGUUUAUACAAGCACCUCCCUAAGUACAUUGCAUUGUACAUGACCUAAUAUAGAUCGUGAGGGCAGGGAGAGCGAUCUGACAACAGAGCAAACCCUCUGUGCCCUCGUAAGUUCCACGUAAGUUCCACGUGCUUCAUAUGAUGUAUGCACCUACUUCCAUGUUCUUCCUUUUUUUUAGUGCACCACUUUCGUGUUCUAUAAUUGGUCACGUGAUCCACAAUUCCUAUUUAGAUGCAGAGCUACAAGGAGCUCCUACGAUUUGUUAUGGUAACACCUAUUUUGAUGGGUUAUGCAUUAAUUUGCCCACGUUUCGCAUAGGGCGCCCCUCGACUAGGCCGACCCAAUGGCGAGGCACUAGAGCGAGCAGUUUUUUAGGCCUUUUUUGUUCUUGGUCUGUUUUUCAUUCGACUAAAAAUAUGGAAAACUAUUUUUGGAAGUGAAGAUUUUUGGCAAAUUUUAUUUCUUACAAAAAUUAAAUAUUUGAGAACAGUUUUUGAGCAAACACCAAAAAUUUGGAAACUUUUGAACAAUUUUCAAACGCAAACAUUUAUUAAAAUGUACAAAUAUUUUAAAUGCGAAUUUUUUGGAAAAUUUGAAUUUCGAAACAUUUUUUUGAAAUUUAAUUUUCAAAUUUCAAAGAACUUUGAAUUUUAUGAAAAACAAAAUUAGAAACUAAAGAACAUAAAACAAGACCGACUUCUCAAAAACCGAUAAAAGGUGGACAUUCUCAAAACCGGGAUUGCGGUAGCUAACUAAAAUGUCGGCCCAACUCCUAUCGCUCGGUGGCUUGUCAAUGCGAUUACCUGGCGAUUUGACACAAUAAAUGUCAAAUGAAAAUUGCCAUUUGACUCCUUCUGCUUUUUUUUUGCAUGAUAAUACAUGUCUCAGUAAUAAAAUAAAGAUUCAGUUACAAGCCACGUAAACAUCAACAUUACAGGACUGUAAAGAUAGGAUAAUCCUAUGCAAAAAAACAAGCGCUUGUCCCUGCUUCGACUAGAGCCUAAAACACAGCAUGGCCCGUGUCACUCUUUGCUCGUAGAAAUACCGUAGCUACACGAACGCUGCUAUACUUCGCAAAAGCUAUAAAUCGCUUAUUGCCAAACAUAUCGUAGCCUCACCAACAAGGAGCAUUGAAGUGGGCCGGUCCAAGAAGCAGUCUUGGAAGUUUCUAAAAACAGGUGCUGAUCGCUUUUAGAACCUUAUGUGUAGUGUUCUUAUUCUUUGUUUUUCUCUAAUGGUUUUGUUUCGGUUUUUCUUUCAGAUUUUUCCCUUUCGUUUUUUAUUAAUUUAUUUUUUUAAAUACAUGUUGAACAAUUUAAGUAUAUAGAUUGAGCAUUUUUCAUAUCCACGUUGAACAUUUAUCUAAAUACAUGUUGAACAUUUGCAAAAUACACACUGAAUUCUGUGAGUAUGCAGUGAACAUUUCUAACCACAGGCUUAUACAUUUUCCAAAAAUAUCAUCAACAUUUGUCUAAAACGUGCAAAAAAAUAUAUGGGUUGCAACAUUUAUUUUAAAGAGCAUAAACAUUUUUUAUAUGGUAUGAAUCUUUUUCGGAAACUAUACAAACAAAGUUUUACUUUCAUGAACAUUUUUCACAAACAUAAUUUUUUACGUGUCAAUAUUUUCAUAAACAUACUUUUUUACAAACUACACAAACAAUUGUUUUACAUUUCAUGAAGAUUUUUGGAAAAUAUAAUCUUCAUAUAGUUUUUGAAGGCAUGAGAAUUUUCAAAAUCUUAUGGGAAAUUCUGAAUUUAACUAAAAUAUUUUUAUAUCGCGAUGAAUGUUGUUAGAAGUUGAAGUGAAGUAUUUUUUUGUAAGAUUAACGAACAGAACAAACUACUUAACAGGAAAACGAAUCAAAUCAACGACGACCUCCUGGGCCGGCCCACUAUGGGCUCCCACUUUGGCAACACUACGCUGCAGCUUGCUGUGAGCGAGACAUGCCUGCUAUACCUUGUUUAGCAACUUCCGCACUUAUGACGCCUUUUGCGUUAUAAAGAGAGCAACUAAUGGAGGGGCACCCUUUGCGGGAGACCAUCAAGGGUCACUCAGCCACCACCAUGUGACCUGUUUUGGGUGCUUCUUUGAGAUUUUUUUUUCUUUUCUGUAUGCUUUUUGGAUUUAGAUUUCUUUGUUUAUUAUUUACUUUUCCUUUUUUGCCUGGUCUCCCCUAGGUUUUGGAAAAAAUUAUCAAAAAAGUAUUGUGCGAGAAAAAAUGUUUUUUUCUUCCAAGAGAGACACAGGGUUGCUUCUCGUGGAGGCACAACUUUGCUUCCAGGAGAGGCCCAUCUGUGCCUCCUAAAAAAGAAAAAAAAACACGUUUAUUUCCUUCUGCGAAAGACAGAUUUGCUUCCCGUGGAGGCAUAGGUUUGCUUCCUUGUGCCCGUCGGAAAAGGAAAAAACAUGUUUUUUUUUCUUUGGCGAGAGGCAAAUAUUUGCUUCUCGUGGACACAGGUUUGCUUCGCAAGAGGCACAGUUGUGCCUUUCGUAAAAGAAAAUAAAAUGCGUUUUUUCUUCCGCAAGAUGCACAUAUUUGCUUCUCAUUGAGGCACGGGUUUGAAGGAAAUGUGCCCUAGAGGCAAUAAUAAAGUUAUUAUUUAUAUUUCCUUAUAUCAUGAUAAAUGUUUAUUAUUCAUGCUAGAAUUGUAUUAACCGGAAACUUAUUACAUGUGUGAAUACAUAGACAAAACAGAGUGUCCCUAGUAUACCUCUACUUGACUAGCUUGUUAAUCAAAGAUGGUUAUGUUUCCUGAUCAUAGACAUGUGUUGUCAUUUGAUGAACUGGAUCACAUCAUUAGAGAAUGAUGUGAUGGACAAGACCCAUCCGUUAGCUUAGCUUAAUGAUCGUUUAGUUUUAUUGCUAUUGCUUUCAUCAUGACUUAUACAUGUUCCUCUGACUAUGAGAUUAUGCAACUCCCGAAUACCGGAGGAACACCUUGUGUGCUAUCAAACGUCACAACGUAACUGGGUGAUUAUAAAGAUGCUCUACAGAUGUCUCCGAAGGUGUUUGUUGGGUUAGCAUAGAUCGAGAUUAGGAUUUGUCACUCCGUGUAUCGGAGAGGUAUCCCUGGGCCCUCUCGGUAAUGCACAUCACUAUAAGCCUUGCAAGCAAUGUGACUAAUGAGUUAGUUACGGGAUGAUGCAUUACGGAACGAGUAAAGAGACUUGUCGGUAACGAGAUUGAACUAGGUAUGAUGAUAUCUACGAUCGAAUCUUGAGCAAGUAACAUACUGAUGACAAAGGGAACAACGUAUGUUGUUAUGCGGUUUGACCGAUAAAGAUCUUCGUAGAAUAUGUAGGAGCCAAUAUGAGCAUCCAGGUUCCACUAUUGGUUAUUGACCGGAGAUGUGUCUCGGUCAUGUCUACAUAGUUCUCGAACCCGUAGGGUCUGCACGCUUAACAUUCGAUGAUGAUUUUUCCGGAGUGGUUCGGCCAUUUUUCCGGAGUACCGGGAGGUUACCGGAACCCCCCGGGAGAAGUAUUGGGCCUAGUGGGCCUUAUUGGAGGAGAGGAGAAAGUGCCACAAGAGAGGGGCGCGCCCUCCCCUUGCCCAAACCGAAUUGGACUAGGGGAAGGGGCCGGCCCCCCUCUUUCCUUCCCCCUCUCUCUCCCUUCCCUUUCCCUCUGGUGGAAGAAAGGAAAAGGAGGGGGAGAAUCCUACUUGGACUCGUAUGACUCCCCCCUGGCGCGCCUAACCUGGCCGGCCUCCUCUCUCCCUCCCACCUUUAUAUACGUGGCUAGGGGGCACCCCAAUAGCACAACAGACAAUCUCUUAGCCGUGUGCGGUGCCCCCCCUCCACAGUUACACACCUCGGUCAUAUCGUCGUAGUGCUUAGGCGAAGCCUUGCGCCGGUAACUUCAUCAUCACCGUCAGCACGCCGUCGUGCUGACGGAACUCUCCCUCGGCCUCAAAUGGAUCAAGAGCUCGAGGGACGUCAUCGAGCUGAACGAGUGCUGAACGCGGAGGUGCCGUACGUUCGGUGCUUGGAUCGGUUGGAUCGCGAAGACGUUCGACUACAUCAACCGCGUUACUAAAUUCUUCCGCUUUCGGUCUAUGAGGGUACGUGGACACAGUCUCCCUGCUCGUUGCUAUGCUUCUCCUAGAUAGAUCUUGCGUGAUUGUAGGAAAAUUUUGAAUUACUACAUUCCCCAACAGUGGCAUCCGAGCCAGGUCUAUGCGUAGAUGUUAUAUGCACGAGUAUAACGCAAUGAGUUGUGGGCGAUAAUAGUCAUACUACUUACCAGCAACGUCUUACUUUGAUUCGGCGGCAUUGUUGGAUGAAGCGGCCCAGACCGACAUUACAUGACCACGUUCAUGAGACUGGUUCUACCGCCAUGCUUCGCACACAGGUGGGUAGUGGGUGUCUGUUUCUCCAACUUUAGUUGAAUCGAGUUUGACUACGCCCGGUCCUUGUUGAAGGUUAAAACAGCACACUUGACGAAAAAUCGUUGUGGUUUUGAUGCGUAGGUAAGAACGGUUCUUGCUAGAAGUCCGUAGCAGCCACGUAAAACUUGCAACAACAAAGUAGAGGACGUCUAACUUGUUUUUGCAGGGCUUGUUGUGAUGUGAUAUGGUCAAAACAUGAUGAUAUAUAAUUUGUUGUAUGAGAUGAUCAUGUUUUUGUUGAAGUUAUCGGCAACUGGCAGGAGCCGCUUGUCUCUUUAUUGCAUAAGAUGCAAGCGCCAUGUAAUUGCUUUACUUUGUCGCUAUGCGAUAGCAAUAGUUGCAAAAGCAAUAGUUGGUGCGACGACCAUGUGACGACACGUUGAUAGAGAUCAAGAUGAUGGAGAUCAUGGUGUCAUGCCGGUGACGAUGGAGAUCAUGACGAUACUUUGGAGAUGGAGAUCAAAGGCACAAAAUGAUGAUGGCCAUAUCAUGUCACAUAUUUUGAUUGCAUGUGAUGUUUAUCUUUUAUGCAUCUUAUUUUGCUUAGUACGGCGCUAGCAUUAUGAGAUGAUCCCUUACUAAAAUUUCAAGGUAUAAGUGUUCUCCCUGAGUAUGCACCGUUGUGACAGUUCUUCGUGCUGAGACACCACGUGGUGAUUGUUGGAAAUAUGCCCUAGAGGCAAUAAUAAAAUGGUUAUUAUUGUAUUUCCUUGUUCAUGAUAAUUGUCUAUUGUUCAUGUUAUAAUUGUAUUAACUGGAAACCGUAAUACAUGUCUGAAUACAUAGACCACAACAUGUCCCUAGUAAGCCUCUAGUUGACUAGCUCGUUGAUCAAUAGAUGGUUAUGGUUUCCUGACAAUGGACACUGGAUGUCAUUGAUGACGGGAUCACAUCAUUAGGAGAAUGAUGUGAUGGACAAGACCCAAUCCUAAGCAUAGCACAAGAUCGUGUAGUUCGUUUGCUAAGAGCUUUUCUAAUGUCAAGUAUCAUUUCCUUAGACCAUGAGAUUGUGCAACUCCCGGAUACCGUAGGAAUGCCUUGGGUGUACCAAACAUCACAACGUAACUGGGUGGCUAUAAAGGUGCAUUACAUGUAUCUCCGAAAGUGUCUGGUGGGUUGGCACGAAUCGAGACUGGGAUUUGUCACUCCGUAUGACGGAGAGGUAUCUCUGGGCCCACUCAGUAAUGCAUCAUCAUAAUGAGCUCAAUGUGACUAAGGAGUUAGCCACGGGAUCAUGCGUUACGGUAACGAGUAAAGAGACUUGCCGGUAACGAGAUUGAACGAGGUAUUGGGAUACCGACGAUCGAAUCUCGGGCAACAUACCGAUAGACAAAGGGAAUUGUAUACGGGAUUGAUUGAAUCCCCGACAUCGUGGUUCAUCCGAUGAGAUCAUCGUGGAACAUGUGGGAGCCAAUAUGGGUAUCCAGAUCCCGCUAUUGGUUAUUGGCCGGAAAGGUGUCUCGGUCAUGUCUGCAUGGUUCCCGAACCCGUAGGGUCUACACACUUAAGGUUCGGUGACGCUAGAGUUGUUACGGGAAAUAGUAUGUGGUUACCGAAGGUUUUUCGGAGUCCCGGAUGAGAUCCCGGACAUGACGAGGAACUCCGGAGUGGUCCGGAGGUGAAGAUCGAUAUAUUGGACGAAGGGUAUUGGAGUCCGGAAUUGUUCUGGGAGUACCGGGUGACGACCAGCGUGACCGAAAGGUGUUUCGGAGGCCCCGGCAAGCGUUGGGGGCCUUAUGGGCCAAGGGGAGGGGGCACACCAGCCCACUAAGGGGCUGUGCGCCCCUCCCAACCCCUCUCACGUAACGUGGAGAGGUGGGGGCGCCUCCCCUAUGGCAGCCACCCCUCCCGGCUUGGGGGGCAAGUUUCCUAGGGGUGGGGGCGCCCAAACCCAUCUAGGGUUUCCCCUGUGGCCGCCGCCCCUCCCCUAGGGAACCCUAGGGCGCCUCCUCCACCCCCUUCCCCUAUAUAUAGUGAGGGAGGGAGAGGGCAGCUGCACCCCUGGCCUGGCGCAGCGCUCUCCUCCUCCAACUCCUCCUCCUCCGUAGUGCUUAGCGAAGCUCUGCCGGAGAACCACGAGCUCCAUUGCCACCACGCCGUCGUGUUGCUGGAGUUCUCCCUCAACUUCUCCUCUCCCCUUGCUGUAUCAAGAAGGAGGAGACGUCCCCGGGCUGUACGUGUGUUGAACACGGAGGCGCCGUCCGUUCGGCGCUAGAUCGGAUCUUCCGCGAUUUGAAUCGCCGCGAGUACGACUCCAUCAACCGCGUUCUUGUAACGCUUCCGCUUAGCGAUCUUCAAGGGUGUGAAGAUGCACUCCCUCUCUCUCGUUGCUAGCAUCUCCUAGAUUGAUCUUGGUGACACGUAGGAAAAUUUUGAAUUAUUGCUACGUUACCCAACAGUGGGAUCAUGAGCUAGGUCUAUGCGUAGAUUCUAUGCACGAGUAGAACACAAAGUAGUUGUGGGUGAUGAUUUGUUCAAUUUGCUUACCGUUACUAGUCUUAUCUUGAUUCGGCGGCAUUGUGGGAUGAAGCGGACCGGACCGACCUUACACGUACUCUUACGUGAGACAGGUUCCACCGACUGACAUGCACUUGAUGCAUAAGGUGGCUAGCGGGUGUCUGUCUCUCCCACUUUAGUCGGAUCAGAUUCGAUGAAGAGGGUCCUUAUGAAGGGUAAAUAGCAAUUGGCAUAUCACCGUUGUGGCUUUUGCGUAGGUAAGAAACGUUCUUGCUAGAAACCCAUAGCAGCCACGUAAAACAUGCAACAACAAUUAGAGGACGUCUAACUUAUUUUUGCAGGGUAUGCUAUGUGAUGUGAUAUGGCCAAAAGGAUGUGAUGAAUUAUAUAUAUGUGAUGUAUGAUAAUGAUCAUGUUCUUGUAAUAGGAAUCACGACUUGCAUGUCGAUGAGUAUGACAACCGGCAGGAGCCAUAGGAGUUGUCUUAAUUUAUUGUAUGACCUGCGUGUCAAUGAAAAACGCCAUGUAAUUACUUUACUUUAUUGCUAACCGUUAGCCAUAGUAGUAGAAGUAAUAGUUGGCGAGACAACUUCAUGAAGACACGAUGAUGGAGAUCAUGAUGAUGGAGAUCAUGGUGUCAUGCCAGUGACGAAGGUGAUCAUGCCGCGCCUCGAAGAUGGAGAUCAAAGGCGCAAGAUGAUAUUGGCCAUAUCAUGUCACUUUAUGAUUUGCAUGUGAUGUUUGUCAUGUUUACAUCUUAUUUGCUUAGAACGAUGGUAGCAUAAAUAAGAUGAUCCCGCACUAAAAUUUCAAGAGAUGUGUUCCCCCUAACUGUGCACCGUUGCGAAGGUUCGUUGUUUCGAAGCACCACGUGAUGAUCGGGUGUGAUAGAUUCUAACGUUCGCAUACAACGGGUGUAAGCCAGAUUUACACAUGCGAAACACUUAGGUUGACUUGACGAGCCUAGCAUGUACAGACAUGGCCUCGGAACACAAGAGACCAAAAGGUCGAACAUGAGUCGUAUAGUAGAUACGAUCAACAUGGAGAUGUUCACCGUUGAUGACUAGUCCGUCUCACGUGAUGAUCGGACACGGUCUAGUCGAUUCGGAUCAUGUAUCACUUAGAUGACUAGAGGGAUGUCUAUCUAAGUGGGAGCUCAUUAAAUAAUCAGAUGAACUUAAUUAUCAUGAACAUAGUCAAAAGGUCUUUGCAAAUUAUGUCGUAGCUUACGCUUUAGUUCUACUGUUUAAGAUAUGUUCCUAGAGAAAAUUUAGUUGAAAGUUGAUAGUAGAAAUUAUGCGGACUGGGUCCGUAAAUUGAGGAUUAUCCUCAUUGCUGCGCAGAAGGCUUAUGUCCUUAAUGCACCGCUCGGUGUGCUGAACCUCGAGCGUCGUCUGUAGAUGUUGCGAAACAUCUGACAUACACGUUUUGAUGACUACGUGAUAGUUCAGUGCGUAAUGCUAACGGUUUAAAAUUGUGGCACCAAAGACGGUUUUGAAACGUCGCAGAACAUAUGAGAUGUUCCAAAGACUGAAAUUGGGACUUCAGACUAGUGCCCACGUCAAGAGGUAUGAGACCUCUGACAAGUUUCUUAAGCCUGCAAACUAAGGGAGAAAAGCUCAAUCGUUGAGCAUGUGCUCAGAUUGUCUGAGUACUACAAUCGCUUGAACUGAGUGGGAGUUAAUCUUCCAGAUGAGAUAGUGAUGGUUCUCCAUAGUCACUGCCACCAAGCUAUUAGAGCUUCGUGAUGAACUAUAACAUAUCAGGGAUAGACAUGAUGAUCCUUGAGCAACUCGCGAUGUUUGACACCGCGAAAGUAGAAAUCAAGUAGGAGCAUCAAUUGUUGAUGGUUAGUAAAACCACCAGUUUCAAGAAGGGCAAGGGAAAGAAUGGAUACUUCAUGAAACGGCAAAUCAGUUGCUGCUCUAGUGAAGAAACCCAAGGUUGAACCCAAACCCGAGACUAAGUGCUUCUGUAAUGAGGGGAACGGUCACUGAAGCAGAACUACCCUAGAUACUUGGUAGAUGAGAAGGCAGGCAAGGUCGACAGAAGUAUAUUGGAUAUACAUUAUAUUAAUGUGUACUUUACUAGUACUCCUAGUAGCACCAGGGUAUUAGAUACCGGUUCAGUUGCUAAGUGUUGGUAACUCGAAAUAAAAGGCUACGGAAUAAACGGAGACUAGCUAAAGGUGAGAUGACGAUAUGUGUUGGAAGUGUUUCCAAGGUUGAUGUAAUCAAACAUCGUACGCUCCCUCUACCAUCGGGAUUGGUAUUAAACCUAAAUAAUUGUUAUUUGGUGUUUACGUUGAGCAUAGACAUGAUUGGAUUAUGUUUAUCGCAAUACGGUUAUUCAAUUAAGGAGAAUAAUGGUUACUCUGUUUAUUUGAAUAAUACCUUCAAUGGUCUUGCACCUAAAAUGAAUGGUUUAUUGAAUCUCGAUCGUAGAAAUACACAUGUUCAUGCCAAAAGAUAUAAAAUAGUAAUGAUAGUACCACAUACUUCUGGAACUGCCAUUUGAGUCAUAUUGGUAUAAAACGCAUGAAGAAGCUCCAUGUUGAUUGGUCUUUGGACUCACUCGUUUUUGAAAAGAUUGAGACUUGCGAACCAUGUCUAUUGGUAUGUAUGCAUGAAGAAACUCCAUACAGAUGGAUCGUUUGGACUCACUUGAUUUUGAAUCACUUGAGACAUGAAAAUCAUACCACAUGGGCAAGAUGACUGAAAGGCCUCGUUUUCAGUAAGAUGGAACAAGAAAGCAACUUGUUGGAAGUAAUACAUUUUGAUGUGUGCAGUCCAAUGAGUGUUGAGGCACGCAGUGGAUAUCGUUAUGUUCUUAUUUCACAGAUGAUUUGAGUAGAUGCUAAGUAUAUUUACUUGAUGAAACACAAGUCUGAAUUAUUGAAAGGUUUAAGUAAUUUUAGAGUGAAGUUAAAGAUCGUCGUGACAAGAGGAUAAAAUGUCUAUGAUAUGAUCAUAGAGAUGAAUAUCUGAGUUACGAGUUUGGCACACAAUUAAGACAUUGUGGAAAUUGUUUCACAACUAAUACCGCCUGGAACACCAUAGUGUGAUGGUGUGUCCGAACAUCAUAACUGCACCCUAUUGGAUAUGGUGCAUACCAUGAUGUCUCUCAUCGAAUUACCACUAUCGUUUAUGGGUUAGGCAUUAGAGACAACCGCAUUCACUUUAAAUAGGCACCACGCAAUUCCGUUGAGACGACACCGUAUGAACUAUGGUUUAGAGAAACCUAAGCUGUCGUUUCUUAAAAGUUUGGGGCUGCGACGCUUAUGUGAAAAGGUUUCAGGUUGAUAAGCUCGAACCCAAAGCGGAUAAAUGCAUCUUCAUAGAAUACCCAAAACAGUUGGGUAUACCUCCUAUUUCAGAUCCGGAAGCAAAAGUGAUUGUUUCUAGAAACGGGUCCUUUCUCGAGGAAAAGUUUCUCUCGAAAGAAUUGAGUGGGAGGAUGGUGGAGACUUGAUGAGGUUAUUGAACCGUCACUUCAACUAGUGUGUAGCAGGGCACAGGAAGUUGUUCCUGUGGCACCUACACCAAUUGAAGUGGAAGCUUAUGAUAGUGAUCAUGAAACUUCGGAUCAAGUCACUACCAAACCUCGUAGGUCGACAAGGAUGCGUACUACUUCAGAGUGGUACGUGAUCCUGUCUUGGAAGUCAUGUUGCUAGACAACAAUGAACCUACGAGCUAUGGAGAAGGGAUGGUGGGCCCAGAUUCCGACGAAUGGCUCGAGGCCAUAAAAUCGAGAGAAGAUCCAUGUAUAAAAACAAAGUAUAGACUUUGGAAGAACUACUUGAUGGUCGUAAGGCUGUUGGGUGCAGAUGGAUUUUAAAAGGAAGACGGACAAUGAUGGUAAGUGUCACCAUUAAGAAAGCUCGACUUGUCGUUAAGAUGAUUUCCGACAAGUUUAAGGAGUUGACUACGAUGAGACUUUCUCACUCAUAGCGAUGCUAAGAGUCUGUUGGAAUUAUAUUAGCAGGUACUGCAUUAUAUAUGAAAUCUUGUAGAUAGGAUGUCAAAAUAUUGUUUCCUCAACGAUUUUCUUGAGGAAAGGUUGUAUGUGAUACAACCAGAAGGUUUUGUCAAUCCUGAAAGAUGCUAACAAGUAUGCAAAGCUCCCGCAAUCCUUCUAAGGACUGGAGUAAGCAUCUCGGAGUUGGAAUGUACGCUUUGAUGAGAUGAUCAAAGAUUUUUGGUUUAUACAAAGUUUAUGAGAAACUUGUAAUUCCAAAGAAGUGAGUGGGAGCACUAUAGAAUUUUUGAUGAGUAUAUGUCGUUAACAUAUUGUUGAUCAGAAAUGAUGUAGAAUUUCUGGAAAGCAUACAGGGUUAUUUGAAAAGUGUUUUUCAAUGGAAAACCUGGAUUAAGCUACUUGAACAUUGAGCAUCAAGAUCUAUAAGGAUAGAUCAAAAACGCUUAAUAGUACUUUCAAAUGAAUACAUAUCAUGACAAGAUUUUGAAGGAGUUCAAAAUAGAUCAGCAAAGAAGGAGUUCUUGGCUGUGUUACAAGGUGUGAGUAUUGAGUAAGACUCAAAACAUGACCACGGCAGAAGAGAGAGAAAGGACGAAGGUUGUCCCCUAUGCUUUAGAUGUAGGCUCUAUAGUAUGCUAUGCUGUAUACCGCACCUGAAGUGUGCCUUGCCAUGAGUCAGUCAAGGGGUACAAGAGUGAUCCAGGAAUGGAUCACAUGACAGCGGUCGAACUUAUCCUUAGUAUCUAGUGGACUAAGGAAUUUUCUCGAUUAUGGAGGUGGAAAAAGAGUUCGUCGUAAAGGGUUACGUCGAUGCAAACUUUGACACUAAUCCAGAUGACUCUGAGUAGUAAACCGGAUUCGUAUAGUAGAGCAGUUAUUUGGAAUAGCUCCAAGUAGCGCGUGGUAGCUGCAUCUACAAGAUGACAUAGAGAUUUGUAAAGCACACACGGAUCUGGAAGGUUCAGACCCGUUGACUAAUAACCUCUCUCACAAGCGAGAUAUGAACAAACCCCAUGGGUGUUGGAUUCAUUACAAUCACAUAGUGAUGUGAACUAGAUUGUUGACUCUAGUGCAAGUGGGAGACUGUUGGAAAUAUGCCCUAGAGGCAAUAAUAAAAUGGUUAUUAUUGUAUUUCCUUGUUCAUGAUAAUUGUCUAUUGUUCAUGCUAUAAUUGUAUUAACUGGAAACCAUAAUACAUGUGUGAAUACAUAGACCACAACAUGUCCCUAGUAAGCCUCUAGUUGACUAGCUCGUUGAUCAAUAGAUGGUUAUGGUUUCCUGACAAUGGACAUUGGAUGUCAUUGAUAACGGGAUCACAUCAUUAGGAGAAUGAUGUGAUGGACAAGACCCAAUCCUAAGCAUAGCACAAGAUCGUGUAGUUCGUUUGCUAAGAGCUUUUCUAAUGUCAAGUAUCAUUUCCUUAGACCAUGAGAUUGUGGAACUCCCGGAUACCGUAGGAAUGCUUUGGGUGUACCAAACAUCACAACGUAACUGGGUGGCUAUAAAGGUGCAUUACAGGUAUCUCCGAAAGUGUCUGUUGGGUUGGCACGAAUCGAGACUGGGAUUUGUCACUCCGUAUGACGGAGAGGUAUCUCUGGGCCCACUCGGUAAUGCAUCAUCAUAAUGAGCUCAAUGUGACUAAGGAGUUAGCCACGGGAUCAUGCGUUAUGGUAACGAGUAAAGAGACUUGCCGGUAACGAGAUUGAACGAGGUAUUGGGAUACCGACGAUCGAAUCUCGGGCAAGUAACAUACCGAUAGACAAAGGGAAUUGUAUACGGGAUUGAUUGAAUCCCCGACAUCGUGGUUCAUCCGAUGAGAUCGUCGUGGAACAUGUGGGAGCCAAUAUGGGUAUCCAGAUCCCACUAUUGGUUAUUGGCCGGAGAGGUGUCUCGGUCAUGUCUGCAUGGUUCCCGAACCCGUAGGGUCUACACACUUAAGGUUCGGUGACGCUAGAGUUGUUAUGGGAAAUAGUAUGUGGUUACCGAAGGUUGUUCGGAGUCCCGGACGUGACGAGGAACUCCGAAGUGGUCCGGAGGUGAAGAUCGAUAUAUUGGACGAAGGGUAUUGGAGUCCGGAAUUGUUCUGGGAGUACCGGGUGACGACCAGCGUGACCGAAAGGUGUUUCGGAGGCCCCGGCAAGCGUUGGGGGGCCUUAUGGGCCAAGGGGAGGGGGCACACCAGCCCACUAAGGGGCUGUGCGCCCCUCCCAACCCCUCUCACGUAAUGUGGAGAGGUGGGGGCGCCUCCCCUAGGGCAGCCACCCCUCCCGGCUUGGGGGGGGCAAGUUUCCCAGGGGUGGGGCCGCCCAAACCCAUCUAGGGGGUUUCCCCUGUGGCCGCCACCCCUCCCCUAGGGAACCCUAGGGCGCCUCCUCCACCCCCCCUUCCCCCUAUAUAUAGUGAGGGAGAGAGAGGGCAGCUGCACCCCUGGCCUGGCGCAGCCCUCUCCUCCUCCAACUCCUCCUCCUCCGUAGUGCUUAACGAAGCUCUGCCGGAGAACCACGAGCUCCAUUGCCACCACGCUGUCGUGCUCCUGGAGUUCUCCCUCAACUUCUCCUCUCCCCUUGCUGGAUCAAGAAGGAGGAGACGUCCCCGGGCUGUACGUGUGUUGAACGCGGAGGCGCCGUCCGUUCGGCGCUAGAUCAGAUCUUCCGCGAUUUGAAUCGCCGCGAGUAUGACUCCAUCAACCGCGUUCUUGUAACGCUUCCGCUUAGCGAUCUUCAAGGGUAUGAAGAUGCACUCCCUCUCUCUCGUUGCUAGCAUCUCCUAGAUUGAUCUUGGUGACACGUAGGAAAAUUUUGAAUUAUUGCUACAUUACCCAACAAUGAUCGGGUGUGAUAAGCUCUACGUUCACAUACAACGGGUGCAAGCCAGUUUUGCACAUGCAGAAUACUCGGGUUAAACUUGACGAGCCUAGCGUAUGCAAAUAUGGCCUUGGAACACUAAGACCGAAAUGUCGAACGUGAAUCAUAUAGUAGAUAUGAUCAACAUAGUGAUGUUCACCAUUGAAAGCUACUCCAUCUCACAUGAUCAUCGAACAUGGUUUAGUUGAUAUGGAUCACGUGAUCAUUUAGAUGACUAGAGGGAUGUCUAUCUAAGUGGGAGUUCUUAAGUAAUAUGAUUAAUUGAACUUAAAUUUAUCAUGAACUUAGUCCCGAUAGUAUUUGCAUAUCUAUGUUGUAGAUCAAUUGCUCGCGUAUAGCUUCCCCGUUUUGUUUAUGAUAUGUUCCUAGACAAAACUAAGUUAAAAGUUGAUAGUAGCAAUGAUGCGGACUAGGUCCGUGAUCUGAGGAUUAUCCUCAUUACUGCACAGAAGAAUUAUGUUCUUGAUGCACCGCUAGGUGACAGAACUAUUGCAGGAGCAGAUGCAGACGUUAUGAACGUUUGACAAGCUCGGUAUGAUGACUACUUGAUAGUUUAGUGCACCAUGCUUUACGGCUUAGAACCGGGACUUCAAAAAUGUUUUGAAACAUCACAGAGCAUAUGAGAUGUUCUAAGAGCUGAAAUUGGUAUUUCAGACUCAUGCCCGAGUCGAUAGGUAUGAGACCUCUGACAAGUAUUUUGCCUACAAGAUGGAGGAGAAUAGCUCAACCAGUGAGCAUGUGCUCAGAAUGUGUGAGUACUACAAUCGCUUGAAUCAAGUGGGAGUUUAUCUUCUAGAUAAGAUAGUGAUUGACAGAGUUCUCUAGUCACUAUCACCAAGUUACCGGAACUUCGUGAUGAACUAUAAUAUGCAAGGGAUGACGAAAACGAUUCCCGAGCUCUUCGUGAUGCUGAAAUCGACGUAGGUAGAAAUCAAGAGAAGCAUCAAAUGUUGAUGGCUGACAAGACCACUAGUUUCAAGUAAAAGGGCAAGGGAAAUAAAGGGAACUUCAAGAAUAAUGGCAAGAAAGUUGCCACUCCCAUGAAGUAGCCCAAAGCUAGACCCAAGCCUGAAACUGAGUGCUUCUACUGCAAGAGAAAUGGUCACUGGAAGCGGAACUGCCCCCAAAUACUUGGCAGAUAAGAAGGAUGGCAAAGUGAACAAAAGUAUAUAUGAUAUACAUGUUAUUGAUCGAUGUGUACUUUACUAGUGUUCAUAGUAGCCCCUGGGUAUUUGAUACUGGUUCAGUUGUUAUGAUUAGUAACUCGAAACAGGAGUUACAAAAUGAACAAAGACUAGUUGAGGGCGAGGUGACGAUGUGUGUUGGAAAUGAUUCCAAGGUUGAUAAGAUCACCGUCGCACUCCCUUUACCUUCAGGAUUAGUGUUGAACCUAAAAUAAAUGUUAUUUGGUGUUUGCGUUGAGCAUAAUAUGAUUGGAUCAUGUUUAUUGCAAUACAGUUAUUCAUUUAAGUCAAAGAAUAAUUGUUAUUCUGUUUACAUGAAUAAAACCUUCUGUGGUCAUACACCCAAGGUGAAUGGUUUAUUGAAUCUCGAUCGUAGUGAUACACAUAUUCAUAAUAUUGGAGCCAAAAGAUGCAAAGUUAAUAAUGAUAGUGCAACCUAUUUGUGGCACUGCCGUUUAGGUCAUAUUGGUGUAAAGCGCAUGAAGAAACUCCAUGCUGAUGGGCUUUUGGAAUCACUUGAUCAUGAAUAACUUGAUGCUUGCGAACCAUGCCUCAUGGGCAAAAUGACUAAGACUCCGUUCUCCGGAACAAUGGAGCGAGCAACAGACUUGUUGGAAAUAAUACAUACUGAUGUAUGCGGUCCGAUGAGUGUUGAGGCUCGCGGCUGGUAUCGUUAUUUUUUGACAUUCACAGAUGAUUUGAGCAGAUAUGGGUAUAUCUACUUGAUGAAACAUAAGUCUGAAACAUUUGAAAAGUUCAAAGAAUUUCAGAGUGAAGUAGAAAAUCAUCGUAAUAAGAAAAUAAAGUUUCUACGAUCCGAUCGUGGAGGUGAAUAUUUGAGUUACGAGUUUGGUCUUCAUUUGAAACAAUGUGGAAUAGUUUCGCAGCUCACGCCACCUGGAACACCACAGCAUAAUGGUGUGUCCGAACGUCGUAACCGUACUUUAUUAGAUAUGGUGCGAUUUAUGAUGUCUCUUACCGAUUUACCACUAUCGUUUUGGGGUUAUGCAUUAGAGACAGCUGCAUUCACGUUAAAUAGGGCACCAUCUAAAUCCGUUGAGAUGACACCAUAUGAACUAUGGUUUAGCAAGAAACCUAAGUUGUCGUUUCUUAAAGUUUGGGGCUGUGAUGCUUAUGUGAAAAAGUUUCAACCUGAUAAGCUCGGACCCAAAUCGAAGAAAUGCGUCUUCAUAGGAUACCCGAAGGAAACUGUUGGGUACACCUUCUAUCACAGAUCUGAAGUCAAGAUAUUCGUUGCUAAGAAUGGAUCCCUUCUAGAGAAGAAGUUUCUUUCGAAAGAAGUGAGUGGGAGGAAUGUAGAACUUGAUGAGGUAAUUGUACCUUCUACCGAAUUGGAAAGUAGUUCAUCACAGGAAUCAGUUCCAGUGAUUUCUACACCAAUUAGUGAGGAAGCUAAUGAUGAUGAUCAUGAAACUUCAGAUCAAGUUACUACCGAACCUCAUAGGUCAAACAGAGUAUGGUCCGCACCAUAGUAGUACGGUAAUCCUUUCUGGAAGUCAUGUUACUAGACCAUGACGAACCUACGAACAAUGAGGAAGCGAUGAUAAGCCCAGAUUCCGUGAAAUGGCUUGAGGCCAUGAAAUUUGAGAUGGGAUCCAUGUAUGAGAACAAAGUAUGGACUUUGAUUGACUUGCCCGAUGAUCGGCGAGCAAUUGAAAAUAAAUGGAUCUUCAAGAGGAAGACGGACGCUGAUAGUAGUGUUACUAUCUACAAUGCUCGAAUUGUCGCAAAAAGUUCUCGACAAGUUCAAGGUGUUGACUACAAUAAGAUUUUCUCACUCGUAGCGAUGCUUAAGUCUGUCCGAAUCAUGUUAGCAAUUGCCACAUUUUAUGAAAUCUGGCAAAUGGAUGUCAAAACUGCAUUCCUUAAUGGAUUUCUUAAAGAAAAGUUGUAUAUGAUGCAACGAGAAGGUUUUGUCAAUCCUAAAGGUGCUCAGAAAGUGUGCAAGCUCCAGCGAUCCAUCUAUGGACUGGUGCAAGCAUCUCGGAGUUGGAAUAUACGCUUUGAUAGUGUGAUCAAAGCAUAUGGUUUUAUACAGACUUUUGGAGAAGCCUGUAUUUACAAGAAAGUGAGUGGGAGCUCUGUAGCAUUUCUGAUAUUAUAUGUGGAUGACAUAUUGUUGACCGGAAAUGAUAUUGAAUUUCUGAAUAACAUAAAAGGAUACUUGAAUAAGAAUUUUUUAAUGAAAGACCUCGGUGAAGCUGCUUACAUAUUGGGCAUCAAGAUCUAUAAAGAUAGAUCAAGACGCUUGGUAAGACUUACCUUGAUAAGAUUUUGAAGGAGUUCAAAAUGGAUCAGUCAAAGAAGGAGUUCUUGUCUGAGUUGUCAGGUGUGAAGUUGAGUAAAGACUCAAAACCCGACCACGACAGAAAAUAGAAAGAGAAUGAAAAGUCAUUCCCUAUGCCUCAGUCAUAUGUUCUAUAAAGUAUGCUAUGUUGUGUACCAGACUUAUUGUGUACCUCACCAUGAGUUUGGCAAGAGGGUACAAUAGUGAUCCAGGAGUAGAUCACUGGACAACGGACAAAAUUAUCCUUGGAGGACUAAGGAAAUAUUUCUCGGCUAUGGAGGUGAUAAAGAGUUCGUCGUAAAGAGUUACGCGAUGCAAGCUUUGGCACCGAUCUGGAUGACUCUGAGUCUUGAUCUAGAUACAUAUUGAAAGUGGGAACAAUUAGCUAGAGUAGCUCCGUGCAGAGCAUUGUAGACAUAGAAGAUUUGGAAAAUACAUAUGGCUUUGAAUGUGGCAGACCCGUUGACUAAAUUUCUCUCACAAGCAAAACAUGAUCACACCUUAUUACUCUUGGGUGUUAAUCACAUAGCGAUGUGAACUAGAUUAUUGACUCUAGUAAAACCCUUUGGGUAUUAGUCACAUGGCUAUGUGAACUAAUCACAUGGUGAUGUGAACUAUUGGUGUUAAAUCACGUGGUGAUGUGAACUAUUGGUGUUAAAUCACAUGGCGGUGUGAACUAGAUUAUUGACUCUAGUGCAAGUGGGAGACUGAAGGAAAUAUGCCCUAGAGGCAAUAAUAAAGUUGUUAUUUAUAUUUCCUUAUAUCAUGAUAAAUGUUUAUUAUUCAUGCUAGAAUUGUAUUAACCGGAAACUUAGUACAUGUGUGAAUACAUAUACAAAACAGAGUGUCCCUAGUAUGCCUCUACUUGACUAGCUCGUUAAUCAAAGAUGGUUAUGUUUCCUGAUCAUAGACAUGUGUUGUCAUUCGAUGAAUGGGAUCACAUCAUUAGAGAAUGAUGUGAUGGACAAGACCCAUCAGUUAGCUUAGCAUAAUGAUCAUUUAGUUUUAUUGCUAUUGCUUUCAUCAUGACUUAUACAUGUUCCUCUGACUAUGAGAUUAUGCAACUCCCGAAUACCGGAGGAACACCUUGUGUGCUAUCAAACGUCACAACAUAACUGGGUGAUUAUAAAGAUGCUCUACAGAUGUCUCCGAAGGUGUUUGUUGGGUUGACAUAGAUCGAGAUUAGGAUUUGUCACUCCGUGUAUCGGAGAGGUAUCUCUGGGCCCUCUCGGUAAUGCACAUCACUAUAAGCCUUGCAAGAAAUGUGACUAAUGAGUUAGUCACGGGAUGAUGCAUUACAGAACGAGUAAAGAGACUUGCCGGUAACGAGAUUGAGCAAGUAACAUACCGAUGACAAAGGGAACAACGUAUGUUGUUAUGCGGUUUGACUGAUAAAGAUAUUCGUAAAAUAUGUAGGAGCCAAUAUGAGCAUCCAGGUUCCGCUAUUGGUUAUUGACCGGAGAUGUGUCUCGGUCAUGUCUACAUAGUUCUCGAACCCGUAGGGUCCGCACGCUUAACGUUCGAUGACGAUUUGUAUUAUGAGUUAUGUGAUUUGAUGACUGAAGUUUGUUCGGUGUCCCGGAUGAGAUCACGGACAUGACGAGGAGUCUCGAAAUGGUCGAGACAUAAAUAUUCAUAUAUUGGAAGGUUGCAUUUGGACAUCGGAAUGGUUCCGAGUGGUUCGGUCAUUUUUCCGGAGUACCGGGAGGUAACCGGAACCCCCCGGGAGAAGUAUUGGGUCUAGUGGGCCUUAUUGGAGGAGAGGAGAAAGGGCCACAAGAGAGGGGCGUGCCCUCCCCUUGCCCAAACCGAAUUGGACUAGGGGAGGGGGCCGGCCCCCCUCUUUCCUUCCCCCUCUCUCCCCCUUCCCUUUUCCUCCGGUGGAAGAAAGGAAAAGGGGGGGGGCGAAUCCUACUUGGACUAGGAGUCCAAGUAGGACUCCCCCCUGGCGCGCCCAACCUGGGCGGCCUCCUCUCUCCCUCCCUCCUUUAUAUACGUGGCCAGGGGGCACCCCAAUAGCACAACAGACAAUCUCUUAGCCGUGUGCGGUGCCCCCCUCCACAGUUACACACCUCGGUCAUAUAGUCGUAGUGCUUAGGCGAAGCCCUGCACCGGUAACUUCAUCAUCACCGUCACCACGCCGUCAUGCUGACGGAACUCUCUCUCGGCCUCAACUGGAUCAAGAGCUCGAGGGACAUCAUCGAGUUGAAUGUGUGUUGAAUGCGGAGGUGCCGUACGUUCGGUGCUUGGAUCGGUUGGAUCACGAAGACGUUCGACUACAUCAAGUGUGUUACUAAACGCUUCCGCUUUCGGUCUACGAGGGUACGUGAACACACUCUCCCCGCUCGUUGCUAUGCUUCUCCUAGAUAGAUCUUGCGUUAUCGUAGGAAAAUUUUGAAAUACUACAUUCCCCAACAGGGUUUGCUUCGCAAGAGGAACAACUGUACCUCUUGGAAAAAGAAAAAAAUCUAUUUUUUUUCUUUCGCAAGAGGCACAUAUUUCCUUCUCGUGGAGGCACUAUUUUACUUCAGUGAGAGGCAAAAACACGUUUUUUUCUUCCAUGAGAGACACAAAUUUUCUUCCCGUGGAGGCACAGAUUUGCUUCCGCGAGAGGCAAACAUGCAUUUUUUUUCUUUCGCAAGAGGCAUAAAUUUGCUUUUCGUGAAGGUAUAGAUUUGCUUUUACGAAAGGCACAGUUGUGCCUUUCUAAAAAGGAAAAAAGUAAGUAAAAACGUGCUUCCAGCUCAGGUUUUCUUUUCUUCCUUUUUCGUCGAAAACAAGUUCAUCGAAACCUAUUAACAUGGGAUCUAUUUUCGAAAAUCUCGAUGCGAGAAGUCCAACGAUGAAAAUGGUUUGCGGUUUGAACGCGCGGUUUAAUAGAUAAAAUGCUUUAAAUAAAUGAAUCUAUAAAAAAAGAAAAACUUCAAGGUUGUAACAAAUGGCGUACAUAUAGACACCACUUGUUGCAGCCUGGGAAGUUGAAAGUGACCUUUGUAAGGGUACUCUUAAUUAGUGAUUUUCAUAGGUUUGAGAAGCUAGAGCUAUAUCUCGCAUUCAGCUAGACGGGAGAAUGUCUCGUUGAAGCAUCUACAGUAAUUGGGCCUGCCCAUUUCACACACAGUUAAAUAAAAAGAGAAGGAAGAAAAGGGGAGCAUGAGGGAUCGAUCCAUGGUCUCGAGAAGGAUAGCUAGACCGCGUCAACCUACUGUUUGUGAUAAUUAAAUGGGUGCGACCUACUUGAAGCGAGUCAAACCGGGUUUCUUUUCUUUUUUUUCUUCUCCAUUUUUUUCAUUCUUUAUGUAUUUUUUCUUUGUUUUUUAAUUAUCUUUUUUCUAUGGUUUCUUUAUUUAUUUUUGUUUUUUAUUUUUUGAUCUUCUUUGUUUCUUUUUGUUUUCAUUUUAUAUUUUUUGUACAUGUCAACAACAUUUUUUAAAUAUAUGUUUAACAUUUUUCCUAUAUGGAUUUAACAUUUUUUAAUACAUGGUCAACAUUUAUAUAUAUGCUUGAUUAACAUUUUUCAAAUACAAGAAUAACAUUUUUUGAAAUCAUGGUCAAUAUUUUUCCUAUAUAUACUUAUAAAUUUUUUUAAAUGCUUGAUUAAUAUUUUUAAAUACAAGAUUAAUAUUUUCUAAUAAAUGGUCAACAUUUUUUCUGUGCACAUUUGAAAGUGUAGGUUAUCUCCCAGGAGGAAGUGAAUGGGAGAUUUUUAGAUAUUCGUCAAACUUUGAUGAAUUUGAUGAAAAUCAGAGUAAUGAAAUAGAAAGAGAAGAGAAACUAAAUCAUCAUAGAGAAGUAAACCCGGCAUACGAGAUAGAUGCAGAUAAAGAGCAUGCAGUCAUACGUACAUUCAGGCAUNNNNNNNNNNNNNNNNNNNNNNNNNNNNNAGCGGAAGCGUUAUAACAACGCGGUUGAUGUAGUCGUACGUCUUCACGAUCCGACCGAUCAAGUACCGAACGCACGGCACCUCCGAGUUCUACACACGUUCAGCUCGAUGACGUCCCUCGAACUCCGAUCCAGCCGAGUGUUGAGGGAGAGUUUCGUCAGCACGACGGCGUGGUGACGAUGAUGAUGUUCCACCGACGCAGGGCUUCGCCUAAGCUCCGCAACGGUAUUAUCGAGGUGUAAUAUGGUGGAGGGGGCACCGCACACGGCUAAAAUAUCGUAUAUCAAGUGUGUAUAGAGGUGCCCCCUGCUCCCGUAUAUAAAGGAGCAAGGAGGAGAGGGCCGGCCAAGGGGAGGUGGCGCGCCCAAGGGGGGAGUCCUACUCCCACCGGGAGUAGGACUCCUCCUUUCCUUGUGGGAGUAGGAGAAGGGAAGGGGGAAGGAGAAAGAAGGAAGGGGGCGCCCCCCCUCCCUAGUCCAAUUCGGACUAGCCCAUGGGGAGGGGUGCGGCCACCCUUUGAGGUCUUUCCCUCCUUUCCCGUAUGGCCCAUUAAGGCCCAAUACGAAUUCCCGUAACUCUCCGGUACUCCGAAAAAUACCCGAAUCAUUCGGAACCUUUCCGAAGUCCGAAUAUAGUCGUCCAAUAUAUCGAUCUUUACGUCUCGGCCAUUUCGAGACUCCUCGUCAUGUCCCCGAUCUCAUCCGGGACUCCGAACUCCUUCGGUACAUCAAAACUCAAUAAAACUGUCAUCGUAACAUUAAGCGUGCGGACCCUUCGGGUUCGAGAACUAUGUAGACAUGACCGAGACACCUCUCCGGUCAAUAACCAAUAGCGGGACCUGGAUGCCCAUAUUGGCUCCCACAUAUUCUACGAAGAUCUUUAUCGGUCAGACCGCAUAACAACAUAUGUUGUUCCCUUUGUCAUCGGUAUGUUACUUGCCCGAGAUUCGAUCGUCGGUAUCUCGAUACCUAGUUCAAUCUCGUUACCGGCAAGUCUCUUUACUCGUUCCGUAAUACAUCAUCCCGCAACUAACUCAUUAGUCACAAUGCUUGCAAGGCUUUAUAGUGAUGUGCAUUACCGAGUGGGCCCAGAGAUACCUCUCCGACAAUCGGAGUGACAAAUCCUAAUCUCGAAAUACGCCAACCCAACAAGUACCUUUGGAGACACCUGUAGAGCACCUUUAUAAUCACCCAUUUACGUUGUGACGUUUGGUAGCACACAAAGUGUUCCUCCGGUAAACGGGAGUUGCAUAAUCUCAUAGUCAUAGGAACAUGUAUAAGUCAUGAAGAAAGCAAUAGCAACAUACUAAACGAUCGGGUGCUAAGCUAACUGAAUGGGUCAAGUCAAUCACGUCAUUCUCCUAAUGAGGUGAUCCGUUAAUCAAAUGACAACUCAUGUCUAUGGUUAGGAAACAUAACCAUCUUUGAUUAACGAGCUAGUCAAGUAGAGGCAUACUAGUGACACUCUGUUUGUCUAUGUAUUCACACAUGUAUUAUGUUUCCGGUUAAUAUAAUUCUAGCAUGAAUAAUAAACAUUUAUCAUGAUAUAAGGAAAUAUAUAAUACUUUAUUAUUGCCUCUAGGGCAUAUUUCCUUCACACACAUUCUUCCAAUGCUGGUGUACUGAAAGUAAAGGGUUGUAGAAUCUGAAAUCAGGAUUGCUUGGAGAUGACACGGUGAUUUGGUAGACCAGUUCCAGUUAUUGUAUCAAUUGUACGUCUAAUUGAGGCGGCUUGAGAUUCAACUCAGAAGAGACUUAGUCUUCACCGUAUUCCUCUUGAGCUAAGGUUAUUGUAGUCCUUGUCCAAUCACUCAUGGUAAGUCUUCAAGAUAGACUUCGAAAACCUUCAUAGACUUGUUCAUUGGCACUCCACAAUUUACGGGUGCUCAGAACUUGAUGCCUAACCGUCUAGAGAUAGUCUUCAAAGGUAACAUGUGUCGGAUCACACAUGACAACCUCUUCAGUGAUGCUCAAUCACUUUGGCUCUGGCACUUGGGUUUUCUCAAAGUCGCCGAAGGAUGGAUUGAUCUCAAAUGACAAUUGUCAAUCUCUCUCUUCGAGCAGGCAACCAACAAAAGGUUGGAGGGGGCUAUUUAUAACCAGGGGCCACCCGACAUGGAAUGUCCUAAAUGCCCCUAUAGACAUGAACUUGUCAGGAUAAGGAUCCACUCAACAGCCGGCACUCGCACAUGAAUGGUCGGAAAUUUGAAGUCUCAAUUUCGUCUAGGCACUCAACUUCCUCACGGUAGGAAAGUCACACUGUCUAAAUUCGAACUCUUCAGUCGGACCAAUUUCGUCAACGACUAGAAGAAUUUUGUUUCUGUCGCUGAAGAACUCCACUGCACUGCAAGAGAUUUUCAAGGUCUUUACUCGAAGAAAUAGGUAUGUUUUUGGUAUGAGCAUCACUUCGGGAAUACGCAUAUGUAUCACCUAGACCCCCUUUACCAGUACGGUGGUUUCUAUGACUCAAAAUAAGAAGAAAGAAACUAUGAAAACAAAGUCUUCAAGCUUCCAAUUCUUCACUUCAAUUUCUUCAAAGGAUGCACCAAAUUCUUUACUAAAGAAAUACAUUUUUAGGGGUCGUCUUUCAUCCGUUAAACCCAAAUCUUCAAGACUAUAUCUUCUAUGUAAACUCACAAUCACAUUAGUGCCUUAACCCAUUUGUCUUCAGUACUCCAAAAGCACUAAGGGGCACUAGAUGCACUUGCAACAUUUAACAUUUUUUCAAAUGCUUGAAUAACAUUUUUUUAAAUGCAAUAUUAACAUUUUUUGCACACAUGGUCAACAUUUUUUCUAAAACUAUUUUUUUCAAAUGCGUGAUUAAUACUUUUCAAAUACUUGUUCAACAUUUUUCAUAUGUGUGACUAACAUUUUUAUAUACAUGAUCAAUUUUUUCAGCAUUUUUUAAUAAAUGGUCGCUUAACAUUUUUCAAAGACUUUUGCAACAUUUUAAAAUGUUUGGUUAAAAAAUACAUGAUGAAAUUGUUUCAUACACAUAUUAUUAUUUCUGUAUACAUUUUCGUAUACGAGAUAAACAUUUUCUCUAUACACAUUUAACAUUUUCCAAAUGCUUGGCCAAUUUUUUUCAAAUGUUUUAUGUAGAGUGAUUUUUGUAAAAUAUUUCUUUAUAAUAUUUGAAAGUGUAUACAAAAGUAAAAAAACAAUUAAAAUGAAAAAUAGAAAACGUGAAGAAAAAAUAAAAGGGAAAACGAGUCUGUUGUUUUCCGCAUCCCUCAAAGAAAAAAAGGCUCCCUCUAUGUCGCUGAAUUUUUUUUAGGGGUGUCUCGCUGAAUUAGGGGUGCCCGAUUUAGGGAACCCGACACAGGCAGCUCCCAGCUGGGCAGGCCGAGGCAGCGGUCCUGUCACGAGACGGUUGUCCUAACAAAUACUUUAGCAGUUCAUUUUUUCUUUUCUAUAAAUUUCGUUGAAAAAGGUGGAAACAAUAUAAUGCCUCCUAACAAUUUAGAAAACAUAAACAAUUUUUGACACGCGAACAUGUUUUGAAACUUUUGAACAUUUUAUGAAAUGCGAACAUUUUUUAAAAGAGGGGGAAUGUUUUUUAAAUGCGAACAUAUUCAGUUUUUAGAACUUUUAUAAAAUAAUUUAAAAAUAUUUUUUAACACAUCUCAUAAAAUCUGAACAGUUUGUAAAAAUUCGAAAUUUUUUUCAAAAAGUGAUAGAAAUAAAAAACAAAACAAACCAGUCAAGAAAAACAAAAAAAUGGAUUAGAAAUCUUCUAAAGGGUCCCAAAACCGUAUGGUGCAAUGUGUUUGUUGUGCCAGAUCAUGAGGCCUGGGUAAUUUUUCCUAAGGUUUUAAACGACAAUUCAAGAGAUAGAGCGUCAAAUGGAAUUGUGUCCUAAAACAUGUAUUUGAAAAAAUGUUAAACAUAUAAUUGGAGAGAUAGAGCGUCAAAUGUUAAACAUGUAAACAAAUGUCUCUGAUGUACAGGGAGAUGUAUAACGUGUAUGAAAAUUUUAAUCAUCAAAACUUGUAUUUGAAAAAAUGUUAAUACUGUAUUUAAAAAAUAUUAACAUUUAUAAAAAAAAUGCUUCAGGUGUAUAUGAACAGUGUACAAUUUGGUAUAAACGUAUACAUAAAAAAUAUCUUUCAAAAAAUGUUGAUCGUGUAUUUGAAAAAUAUUAUAAAAAUAAUGUUUUGAUGUAUAUGAAAAAUGUAGAAUUUCUGUUGAAAUUGUAGACAGCAACAAAUGCAUUUGAAAAAAAUGUUAAUCAUAUAUUCGAAAAAAUGUUAACAUGCAUAAAAAUAAUGUUUCAGAUUAUAUGAAAAUUUAAAAAAGUCUACUGAAAAAUUAGACAUCAGGAAAUGUACUUCUAAAAAAUCGUUAAUCAUUUAUUUAGAGAUCGCUAAACAUGUUUACAAAUAAUGUUUGACAUGUAUACGAAAAAUACUCAUGAGUUAAUCUACACUGACAUACCAUUAAACUUAUGUUCUUUCUUUUGUAUCGUAUUUACAUGCCGCUUCCCAUAUCAUUUAACUUAACUUCCAUUAAAAAAAUGGGCAUGCAUGGAUGCAGCCAUCGUUUUGGCAACCUGAAAAGGCCUUCAAAUUAGAUUUUACUGACUUUAUUUCAGUCAACUAUGCACAUGUUUCUAUUCUGUUAUUGUUCUGAAUUAGAUGGAUGAUGUUCAGGUGCUUCUUUGGUUUCUCAUGUUGCUGGUUACUGUCCUGUUUUACAUGUGUGAUUAAUGUGCAUUGAGCUGCUGAAGAUAUAACUAAACUGUGUCAGUUCCUAAAUAAUACUCGUAUUUCAUUUUCUCAGAUAUUUUACCGUCUAUAUUUCCCUUGAAUAUUUCCAUCAUCCAUUCUGAUGUUCAAGUAACUUUAAUAUAUGAAACACAGACAUGUCGCCGCUAUAUUUUUCCCUAAGCUAGACCAAGCAGUUUACUUCUACACAACGCUUGUCCUGUUGGAAGAAUGACUCAAGCUUUGAUGAUUCAGUCCAGAGGUAGAAAGAGAGGCAAAGAUGCCAUACUUGUUGGCUCAGCCACACUGGAGGUUGUCAACUUACUUUGGUCUGCCGCCUUAAUCUUCAGUAGGAUCUGGUUACUGCAAACUUGGGAGUGAAAUGUAGGGAAUCCAGACAUCAUUUCUGUAAGCAGUUGAAUACACAGUUUCUUGCCCUGUUCCUGGGAUCAUUGUAUCAAAGCCUUGGAACUGAAAUGCUAGGUUGACCUUUCAAGGAUGCAAAACCUUGAACUAAUCCAUGGAAAAUGGUUAGCUUUGAGCCAUGAUACCUGGAUUAGACAUCUAAAACAACCAACAUAUUGUUCCAAAGACUUCAUUAUGCCAGUAAAGACUAGAUUUCUUCUACAGACACAUGUGACCUUAUCUGAGUAUAUCAUUUUUUUGUGUGGGUGAAACAAAGCUUUGUUUCCCUUGCCGAUCAGUGUCAGUAAUAAAUAAAUAUAGGUGUCACACUACUCUUUGUUUUCACCAUUCAAACUGUAGAAUAGUGGAGGAAGAGGGAGAUCGCACCUUAGGUGCUCUCCGGUGUAUACUCAUGUAUAUAUAGCCGGUUACAACAGGGCGCAGAGCGCCGGGGUGUGGCGACGUGCAUGGAUCGUGGGAUCGUGCAUGCAUGACGUGCGCACGUACAGGGAGAGAGAGAGAUGGGUAAGCUAGCUACUGUUAACACCCCGCCGCAGGUUGAGCGUCCCGUGGUCGGAUGCACAAGCUGGACCGGAAUUCCUCGAACGCCGGUGUGGGGAGCCCUUUGGUGAGAACGUCGGCGAACUGUUGGCUCGUGGGCACAUGGAGAACGCGCAGUUCACCGAGUGCAACCUUCUCCCGGACAAAGUGGAUGUCCAACUCGAUGUGCUUUGUGCGACGGUGGUGGACGGGGUUGGCAGCCAUGUAGACGGAGGAGAUGUUGUCGCAGAAGACUACACUGGCUUUUCGAAGCGGUGUAGCGAGCUCGUCGAGAAGUUGUCGAAUCCAACAGCUUUCAGCGACGGCGUUGGCGACGGCGCGGUACUCGGCUUCUGCGCUGGAGCGAGACACGGUCGCUUGGCGUUUGGACGACCAAGAGACCAGGGCGUCGCCGAGGUACACCGCGUAGCCGGAAGUGGAGCGGCGUGUGUCCGGGCAGCCCGCCCAGUCCGCGUCGGAGUAGGCGACGAGGUCGAGGGAGGCGGCGGGACGAAGAUGUAGUCCGUGGGUGGUGGUGCCUCGAAGAUAUCGGAGGAUCCGCUUCGCCAGCGCAAGGUGCGGAGCGCGGGGGUCGUGCAUGACGAGGCAGCACUGCUGCACCGCGUAGGCGAUGUCCGGUCGUGUCAUGGUCAUGUACUGAAGGGCGCCGACAAUGCUCCGGUACUCUGAGGCGUCGGGGACGGGUGCGCCGUCCGCAGCUGACAGUUUGGAGCGCGUGUCUACGGGCGUCGAGGCCGGCUUGCAGGUCUGCAUGUUGGCACGCUCGAGGAGUUCGUCAGCAUACUUGCGUUGCGACAAGAAGAACCCGUCGUCCGUGCGCGUCACAGCGAUGCCGAGGAAGUAGUGAAGUGGCCCGAGGUCUUUCAUCGAGAACUCGGUGGAGAGCAGACCUUGCAGUCGUCGUAGUAGAGCGGUGGACGACGACGUACAGCAGUAAGUAGGCGGCACCGGCGUCGCUUUGGAGCACGAACAGAGAUGGAUCUGCGCGCGAGACGGCAAAUCCGAUGUUGCAGGCGAACGCGGCGAACCGUGCGAACCAGGUGAGCGGCGCUUGCUUCAACCCGUACAAUGAUUUGUCGAGGAGGCAGACGUGGUCGGGGUGGUCGGCAUCAACAAAGCCAGCCGGCUGCUGACAGUACACCUGCUCCGUCAGAUGGCCGUGGAGGAAAGCAUUGUUGACGUCCAUCUGGUGAACUGGCCAGCCCCGCGACGCCGCGAUGGUGAGGACGACACGGAUCGUGGCCGCCUUGACGACCGGCGAGAAGGUUUCAUCGAAGUCGACGCCGGGGCGCUGGGGAAGCCGCGAACAAACCAGCGCGCCUUGUAACGCUCCAGCGUGCCGUCGGCCUUGAGCUUGUGUCGAAACAGCCACUUGCCGAUGACGAUGUUGGCGCCGCGCGGCCGGGGUACGAGCCGCCAGGUAUUGUUCGCCAUCAGUGCCCUGUACUCCACCUGCAUCGCAGUCAACCAACAAGGAUCGCGCAAAGCGGCACGCACAGUCUUUGGGAUGGGUGAGAUCUCGUUAGAUGUUGAAGUGGUGUGGUUCUGGUGGUAUUUGGGGUUUGGGAAGAACUUACCAGCCUGAGCACGAGUACGCAUGGUAUGGGUGGGCACUGGGCACUCGCGACCGCGAGCUGCAGGCGGUGCUGGUGAGGAGGGCAGGGGGGAGACGUCGGGAAAGGCAGAUGGAUCGAUGUCGGGUGUGUUGGGCUCGGGUGUGGGGGGUGAUGGUGUGGCUGCCAUGGCAGUAGGCUCAGGUUGUUGCGGGGAACACAGGGGUGUGAGUGUAGCCACCGGUGGAGCGGGUGUAGCCACCGGUGGAGCAGGUGGCCGGACGGUGCGUGGUUGGUGCGGGACAUGUGGCAUGGAGUAAAUCUCGUCGGCGAGGGAUGGUGUGGUGGGUGUGUCUAUGGCGUUGUUCUCUUGGAAGGGAAAUGUGCCCUCGUCAAAAACGACAUGCCGUGAGAUGACCACACGCCUGGUGGCGCGAUUCAGGCAGCGAUAGCUUUUUUGUUCGUGCGAGUAGCCGAGGAAAACACAAGGCGCCGACCGGGGAGCAAGUUUGUGCGGGGUGGUGGCCGUGAGGUUUGGAUAGCAUAGGCAGCCGAACACCCGAAGGGCUGUGUAAUCGGGGUGGACGCCGUACAGAAGGAAGAACGGCGUGUGAUCGUGGCGGGGGCGACACGGGCGCCGGUUGAGGAGGAAGGUUGCCGUCUGAAGCGCUUCAGCCCAGUACGAGUAGGGCAUGUGAGCAUGGACAAGCAGCGAUCUGGUGAUGUCGUUGAGUGUCCACAGGGCUCGUUUUGCGCGCCCGUUCUGGGGCGAGGUGUACGGGCAUGACAUGCGGAUCUGUGUGUCAAGGGAGGAGAACAGGGCGUGGGAGGCGGCGUUCUCAAAUUCCUUGUCAUUGUCAGUCUGGACAGUGAGGAUGGGAAGGUUGAAUUGAGUGCGUGCAAAGUGAAAGAACGUGUGAAUGGCGGGAAGCACCUCCGAUUUGUGGCGUAAUGGGAAUGUCCAGGCAAAAUGGCUAUAAUCAUCGAGAAGUAAUAGGUAAUACUGGCAACCAGAGUUGCUUUGGGCUGGAGCAAUCCAUACAUCACAGUGCACUAAUUGAAAGGGAAAGGAAGAUACCUGAUCGGAUGAACCGAACUGGAGCCUAGUGCUCUUUCCUAGUUGACAAGCUUGACAGAUAGUGGGUUGGCUUGGGGUGUGGUCGACGCCCGAGAGACGGAGGGUGCGGCCGAGGGCAUCCCCGCCUGGAUGGCCUAGGCGUUGGUGCCACACAUCUCGCGAAGUGGCGGUGAGGGCGUGGUGACCAUGUGGCAGCGCAGGUGUGGGCGUCAAGGGAAAGAGGUCAUCAUCGGCGGCAUUACAGCGGAGGAUCACCUUCUUCGUUCUUCGUUCCUUGACAGAAAAACCAAGAUCAUCAAAUUCGACAUUGAGAGGAUUGUCACGGGCAAGAGCUUUAACUGAUAUGAGAUUCCUAAUCAGGUGCGGGGAGACGAGGACAUUGCGAAGAGAGAUGGGGGAGCCGCUGGUGGGAAUGGUGGUGUGCCCGGUGUGCGUGACCGCUAGCGUGCUCCCGUCGCCGACAAUGAUGCGAGAUGAACUGUAAGGGACUGAGGAGGAGAGCAUACCUGACGAAGACGCCAUGUGCGAUGUUGCUCCGGUGUCGAGGUACCAGUCGGCCGUUGGUGGCGCCGGCUGCUGCUGCUGCAUCGACAUGGAGUUUAGGGCGUGGAUGAGCGCAUUCUGAUCCCAGGAAGGACCAGGAGGGUUGGUGGAGUUGUUCAUCAGUGCGCCGUACAGGGGGUGAGCGGGCACGACCCCUGGUUGCCAGACCACAGGAGGUGCGUGCGCUGGAACGCCUGGCCCGGCGGCGUAGUGCGAUGCAGUGCCGGCGAACGGCGUGCUCCCACCGGGUCGGGGUCCAAGGAUGCCGGCGCCAGGUGCAUGGGGACGCCAAGGCAUCGGCCAGGCGUGGACCAUACCGGUCCAUGGAGCCGCAGAAGGAGUGGGAGGGCGAGUCAUGUGGCCGCCCCCGCCGGAGUACGAGCCCUGACCCCCGCCGGAGUUUGAGCCCUGGCCCCCGCCGGAGUUGUUGGCCUUGCCCUUGCCCUUGUAGCGCCCGUUCCCGCCGCCGUUGCGCCCGUGGCCGCCAUUCUGCCCGCCCGAGCCGCUGCUGGUGUUGGUGUUGGGCACACGUGCAGCGUGCAGGGCAGUCUCAGUGUUGGCGUCGGCGGACAGACGGCUCUCCUCGAGCAGCAGGAAUGCACGGCAUCGGAGGAACGCCGGGAAGGGAGUCUGCAUCGUCAGAAUGGGCACAGCGUAGCGAAAACGCGGGUGCAGACCACGGAACAUGUUGAGUACCUGGUCGCGGUCGGUGAUGGGCGCGCCGAGCUCGGCGAGGCGAGGCGAUCGGCGCAGUCCUUGAGCCGUGCGAAGAAGGAGAGGAUGGACGAGCUCCCCUGCUCGAUGCGGCAAAACUCGGUGAAGAGGAACACCACCUGGUGCUCAGCGUUCUCGAGGAAGAGGGUGCAGAUGGCCGCCCAGAGAACGGUGGCGGUGGCGCCGCGCUGGUGGACGAGCCCGAACACCUCCGGGCUAACUCGGUUGUACAACCAGGAGACGAGAUGAGCAUCGUCUUGCGCCCAGGCAGGGUCGCGGGGACGCGGCGGUCCGGUGAGGUGAUCUGCGACAGCGAGCUUCUGGAAGGUGACUUCGAAGAGGGUGCGCCAGUGGGAGAAGUUGGGUGGGUUCAGGGUGAGCACAAGAGGGACGUGCUGGUUGAUGAAGACGCCGGCAAGUGGGGAGGCGAGCGGCUGGUGCGUCAUGGAGGAGGAGGCCGUGGGGUCUGGAGCGAAGAGAGCCCCGUGGGCAAGUCCAGAUGGGGUGAGGAGGGGCUGAUGCAUGGUCUGAGAGGAGGGAGGUGUGACGGGCGAGCCGCCAGAGAGAGAGCCCGGACGUGGUGUAGGUGGGGGAGGCGGCGGCGGCGGUGUCGACAUGGCGCCGGCGAGCGCAGGUUUGCGGAAGCGGAGUGGAGCGGUUUACACGCGAGGGAGAAGCCCAGCGUCUGAUACCAUGUAGAAUAGUGGAGGAAGAGGGAGAUCGCACCUUAGGUGCUCUCCGGUGUAUACUCAUGUAUAUAUAGCCGGUUACAACAGGGCGCGGAGCGCCGGGGUGUGGCGACGUGCAUGGAUCGUGGGAUCGUGCAUGCAUGACGUGCGCACGUACAGGGAGAGAGAGAGAUGGGUAAGCUAGCUACUGUUAACACAAACUAUCCAGUUGUGAUAUUACACCCAGCAACACUAAUAUAGUUCAAAAGUAAAACAAAGUUCAUGUAGUAAUAAAUAUUACAAGGCUUGAGAAUUAAUAAUUGACAUAACUACGGGAAAAAAAAGGCACAAUCCAUAUAUACAGCAUCAUUAUAUAAAAUAAAAACACUGGAUGGUCACAAUCAUUUGACAGAAUGGCACUGACUGCAUGGCUUCUUGAUAUUUAGCUUAACAUUAGGGGGGACCUUCCCAACGAUGUAUUUUUCGAUAGCCAAAACUGCUUUGUGGGCUUCUCUGAUCAUACGCUGUCCUGUAUGAGGGCUGCAAUCACCAAUUUCGUGGACAGUUAACCUAUCAACAUGUUCAUAACCACCAACAUAUAUGGGGUCCAGUUUAAGAUUCUCAAGUGAUGUUGCAUUGUCAAGAAUAUGGCAAGUUAGCUCAAUCAUGCUCUUUGCAGAGCAAAAUCCAUCGAUCUUCACGUUCUUGAUGCUGGCGUGGUGGUGUCCUGGCAUCUUUCUGAGAAGAGAGGAAUCCCCAGAUACAGGAUCAUGCUUCAUGCGAGUCUGACAUACCUGCACAGGUAUAACAUACAUGAAUUACCGGUUCCUCGUAUACUCCCUCCGCCCCAAAAUGAUAAGAUUUUGGGAUGGAGGAGGUAUAAGAUACCUUCACAAGACAGAAGAGCGACUUACAGACAAUUUGAAAGUUUCCAACACAGGACAAGCAUCCAGGAAAAAAGCUAGAGACAAAUAAUCAUAAGCUGGGGAAAAGGCCCCUUCUGCAACAGAGAGACAAAUCUCCAAUAGCUUGAGUGCAGGAAUUUGGCAGUUAUGAUUGGUGUAUUAAGAACCUGCAUAAAAGCAUGUAGGUUAAUUAUAUUCUAAGACAUGCUUAUUACUACAACAGCAACAUCAACAAUGGCUAAUCAAAUAAUAGUGCUGGUUACUCUUCAAAUAAUAAAUAUAGAGUUCAAUGUACCUCGCCAGCUGAAGAAAUGCCAAGAGUUUCAAGAUUUGGCAUAAUCCGUGGAAGAUCGGCACGGGCAUAAUAAACGAGGUUAUACUCAAAGGCCCACAACAUCUCUAGGUUAUUCACUCGCAAUGAAUCUCCAAAUGGAAGUCGUACGAGAGUAGUAUCAAUACGAACUGUACAAAGAUUCGGAGCUUUGUUCUCUAUCAGUUCCAGUGUUUUGCAUCCAAACACUGUCAGGUGGUUGAACUGGUUUAGCAGGCACGGUAUCUUCAAGCAAGUGAUCUUAUUGCAUUGGCUAAGAUUCAACUCCUUCAAAACAAGAGAAUUAGAAAGAAGGCACCCUAACUCAUCACCAGUGAUGUGUACCCGAGACAGAUGCAGCUUUCUCAAGCAACCAAGUCCAGCCACGGGAUGGAAGGCACAACCUUUGAGGUUUAGAUAACUAAUUGAUUUUCCAUUUCCAUUGAAUAAAAGUGAGCAUGGGAAGUUGUAGUACUUUGCAUCGUAUACUACAGGCAGCGAAAGUACAAGCUCUUCAAGCCCUGGGUUAACAGCAACCUGAAGCCAACUUUUGAGAUGCCUGGUGUAGAUACGAGAACCACAGUGUUCAAGCUUGAAUAUCUUCACACCAAUGCCUGCGCGUUUUUCCAUAAUUUGGUCAACUAUUUUGGUGAACUUCCAAGCUAGUGUAUCACUUCCACAUAUUUUCUCACUGAAGGUGCGUUUCACACCCAGUGUUUCCUGACUGAAGGUGAGGUUGGGGUGGCAUCUCCAGGAACGUAAAAAUUCACGAGACACGCAGCCAGCUCGGGCAGCAUCAGGUAGUGGUAGUAGGGCAUGUAUAUGACACCAGAUGUCCUUCAAAAAUAUAAGGACGGAAGAAAAAGUUAAUGGAUGGAGUAAAUUAUACACGCCAGGCGCUCAGUGCAAAGUGUGACAGAUUAUAAAGUAAAAUAUCAGUUGAAUGUGGUUGUGGUGGGAAAACUAAGUAUUACAUCAACAAGUGUUUUCCCAAAAAGGUCACCUGUCCCUAACAGGGUUAUUACUUAUUCCUAAAAGGCACAAUAGUGAAAUCAAUACUCUGGUGUGAACUUUCAAGCUAGCAGAAAGUGCAGAGGAAAUAGACUCUUCUUUUCCUUGCCGAAACUUGGUUAGAGUAUAAUAUUUCAAGAAUGUACUGAAGUAUCGGACUUAUGCUCAAAUUUAUCAAAACUGACCAAUUGUUAGUUUGAAUGUGCAUACUUAUUGCAGUCCAAAGGCUGAAAGAUUACUUCCUUCUUUCUGAAGUACCUUUACAUAGGCUACUAUAGUUUGAAUGAGCAUGCUUAUUGCAAGACAAGUAUUCCAUCUUCAGCAUUCUAUGUCGUACCUCUGGAAGUUCUGGCCCUGAAUAUCGCAUUAUUUUGGUGCCUUGAGAAUAGUCAUCUUGUUCACAGGAUGGCCUCGUUCUUUUAGCCACUGAAGCAAUCGAUGUACCUACAAUUAAUACAUCAUGCAUGAUCAUGAAUUAAUUAUGCAAACACUAGAAGAAAGCAACAAAUUAAACUCAAGCACAUAAGUGCAGACACACAGAGAUUCUACUUGUUUCCAUCAUCUAACUUUUGCAUAGCAACACAACAACUAAGCCUUUAGUCCCAAACAAGUCGGGGUAGGCUAGAGCUGAAACCCAUAAGAUCUCGAAACCAACUCAUAGUUCCGGCACGUGGAUAGCUAACUUCCACGCACCCCUGUCCAUGGCUAGUUCUUUUGUGAUAUUCCAGUCUUUCAGAUCUCUCUUCACGGUCUCCUCCCAUGUCAAGUUUGGUCUACCCGACCUCUCUUGACAUUAUCAGCACGCUUUAAGCGUCCGCUAUGCACUGGAGCUUCUGGAGGCCUCUGCUGUAUAUUCCCAAACCAUCUCAGACGAUGUUGGACAAGCUUCUCUUCAAUCGGUGCUACCCCAACUCUCUCACGUAAUCUCAUUCCGGAGCCGAUCCUUUCUUGUGUGGCCACACAUCCAUCUGAACAUGCGCAUCUCCGCUACACCUAACUGUUGCACGUGUCUCCUUUUAGUCGGCCAACACUCAGCGCCAUGCAACAUUGCUGGUCGAACCGCCGUCCUAUAGAACCUGUCUUUGCCAUUUGUACUUCUUUGUUCUCUUGGGCUACUCAAAAAGCUGGUGAUUCGACUGCGCUGAAGACUAACGCAAUCAACAUUACGAAGAUCCGUGGUGGGGUGCAGAACAGUACCACAUCUACAAUCUGAUGACUCAUGCUCUACUCACUCCCUAGCUUCAUCUCAGAACUAGUAGAGUCAUGGGCUACCGUGAUGGCAGGCAGCAGCUCUGAAAUCUCUAUGAUGCUCAGUUGCUCACUAUAUUUGGGUCUGUUGUUUGAGGGUAUAUUGCUAUCUCAUCACAAAACAACAAUAGACAAUCAAUACUUUAUCACCGAAUGAGUUAAAAAAUGCAAUCUGGGGUUCAAAAGUCGCUGCGUUGGAGGACUAGCCCACCGAAACACUCUCCAGAAAGCUGGUGAUUCGUCUGAGCUGAAGACUACCGUGAUCAACAUUAUGAAGGUCCGCGGUGAGGUGCAGAACAGUGCUACAUAUGCAAUCAAUCUGAUGAUUCCAAGCUCUACUAGCUCUACAACCGUAAUAUUUUGUAAUCUCUGGGAGUGCCCUCUGCGGUAGGACUGAAUUUUCUGUAAACGUUUGCUGCUUUUGCUUGCUCUUAGGUCUAGUUUUGGUGCAGCAUUAUGGUGCUGGUGCCAAUUGCGGGCAGGCGCACUUGUUUCCUGAUAGUUCUUUGAACUCGCUCUCUUCCUUUUGCUGCUUCCUGACAGAUAUCAGCAAAAUUAUAUGGACAGUGUAUUCCAGUCAUCGUGUGAGUGAUUGAAAGAGGGUUAGCCCGGUUAAAAAAAUAAACACUCCCUGAAAGAUGGGGGAACAAACUUGCUCUCCGACAAAUAAGAUUGUACUGCAGAGUACAAUGGACUAAAAAUCAGAUCUAACAUCGCGUGGGAUAACAAAAGAAAGAGCUCUCUUAUUUUAUCCCGUAUUUUAGAUUCCAUGAUGAAACGGCGAUAGAGCACUGUACCUGGUGUGGGGUUUGCCGGCUUACUGUCUGCCUGGAUUUGGCGGCGACGCUUCUUCAUGGCGAUGAUGAGCUCGGCUAGUUCCAUUGUGAGAAGACGAUGUACCUGGGUUGUUCUCUCUCUCUCUCUCUCUCUCUCUCUCUCUCUCUCUCUCUCUCUCUCUCUCUCUCUCUCUCUCUCUCUCUCUCUCUCUCUCUCGCUCGCUUUGGAUUUCAAACAAACAAGGCGAGGAUUGUGUCGCGCGGGGAGCGGGGGUCAGGACUCAGGACAGGGCAGGAGUCCGCCGCGCAGAGGGACAGGAUGGGGCAUAGCGCAGUGGGAGACCAAACCCUAAGCAACUCCGAGAUGGGCCUGCUGCUGUUGCUCUGGCUCGAUUGGCUCGAUCUCCUAUUUAGUGCGCGCGAACAAGCCAACGCCCACCCUUUUGGGCCGCCCAAUGUGCGCGGCGGGACGCCCCUAUUUUUCUAUUUAAGUUUUUCCUUUUUGUUUUUCCUUUUUUUUCUAAAAGAUCCGCCGGGCCGCGAGCCGUCAGAUCUAGCGCAUCGAGCGGAUGAGCGGUGGCUCCAUCAUUGCAACACAAGUCUUGUUGCAGAUUUUUUUUUGUAACAUUGGUCUAGUUGCAGAAAAGUUUUGCAACAGAUAUUUCGUUGUAGAAUUUUUUUUUGCAACAGAAGCCUUGUUACAAAAUUUUUGCAACCUUGCAGAAUUUUUUUUACAAAAUUUUCGCAACAUAGCUCUUGUUGCAUAAAUAUUUUGCAACAUAGAUCUUGUUGCAGAAAAGCACCCGAGGAGAGAGCACCAUGGGAGCUCGUUUGUUGAGAGAGAGAAAGGGGUAAGGAGAGAGGUGGGAAGGAGAAAGGGGCUGGCGGCGGAGCGCCAUGGGAGCUCAGUUGGGAGAGAGAGAGUUAAGGAGAAGGGAGGAGGAAAGGAGAAAGGGGCUGGCGGCGGCGUCCUCCGACGGCACUAGAUGGGAGUUGGGACAGAGAAAGUGAAGGAAGAAAGGUUGGUGGCGCUUGCUGUUGAGAGAGAUUUCCUGGAGAUGAAGGUGUGAGGGGAUAAUGUUCAGCACCAAGAAUGUGUGGCUCAAGGGGACACAUGUCAAGCAGCCCAACCGGUUGAUGCAUAGGCUGUAAUCAGCGGGAUGAGGGGAAGCAUUUUCCUUUAAAUUAAUACGGGGUCUCAAAAGAUAUCCAAAUUUAAAAAACAUGAAUAUUAAAAAAAAGCUAAAAUCAUAAAAUUUUCACGGAUUCAAAAAAAUGUUCAUGAUUUUGAAAACAAAUGUUCAGGAAAUCAACAAUGUUCAUGAUUUUUAAAAAUUGUUCGCGUAUUAUUUUUUGUGGGAAGUUGAACAAAUGUUAACAAAUAUCUAAAAAAACAUUGAAUUAGAAAAAAACAUUAUCCAUUCAAUAAAUGCCCGAUGAUUCAAAGCAUGUCCAUGAAUUCAAAAAAAAUCGUUCAUUUCACAAAAAUGUUCAUCAAACAAAGUUCAUGAAUUUCAGAAAAUGUACCCAACGGCGGAGGCCUGGGACUGCUACUGUCUGCCAAGCUGCUUGGUGGCCUAGAAGUAGGGCCGAUGAUAUUGUUCCGGCUAGGACGACGUGUGCAUGGUCGGCUGCAGCGGCAAUGCCCCGUGUCCCCGCCCUGUAUGGCCCCUACACCCCGUCCCCAGCCCCGACCGCCACCCCGCCGCCUUAUUGCUGGCCGCUUGAUCAUUUGCCUUGUUUUUCAGGUGGUGACCUUGCCAUGCUGCUGAUUUGAUGUUCACCAUAUAUAUAAAAAAAAGUUCACAACACAUUACAAAGAUGUUCACCGUAUAUUAAGUUUGUUCACCGUAUAUUAUGAAAAAGAGCAUCAUAAAUUAUAAAAAUGUUCAUCAUGUAUUAAAAAAUGUUCAUCGUAUAUUUCAGAAAUGCUCAGUUUGCAUUUAAAAGAAAUAACCGUAUAUUACAAAAAGAUCACUGAAUUUAAGAAACUUUCAUGGUAUAUUACAAAAAGUUCAGAAUGCAUUAUUAAAAUAUUCAUCAUAUAUUAAGAAAAUGUUCAAGGUAUAUUAGAAAGUGUUCAAUUUAUAGUUUCAAAAUGUUCAAAAUAAAAAGACAACCAAAAGACCAAUCCGAUAUAGUAAACCAGAUGCUACAGUGUGGAGUUAAACCAACUAAAAAGGAAGAAGAAGAAAUUAAAAAUCUCUCGCAGGCAGAAUGGGCCGCCCUAUUCCCUCCAGGCUUCAGCAAGCCUCCAUUAUUUGCAGCCUGCAAGCGGCAAAUAGGAACUCUCGUCAUCCCGCUCAUCCGGUGUUUCAUAUUUGACACUCACUGCGUCAUUGUUAUUUUUUUUCACAAACGCCUGUAAUUUUAUUCAUACUCGUAACAAUUACAUGUACACUGAUUUAGACAUAAAAUUCAAGAAAAUGCAAGUAACUCUUAUGACUAAGAAUUACAAUGAAAUCUCUUUAAAACACCUUCUUCACGACGUCGAUCUCUGCUCGAAGAAAUACUCCAAAGACUUCGCUACAGAGACUGCAAUUUGACUGGAGCAACGAUGUGACCACUCUUUCACCCGCACGACACAUUACCAGUAAUGGUUUUUGAAAGCGUCUUGAGUCGCCCAUCCAAAGAGCACUACAAGACACCUGGUAAUCUGUGACAGAUUGCUGGUGAUGUUUCUGGUAUUCGUCACAGAUUGUGACGGAUUACCUACUGCUGUCAGUAAAUCCGUCACCAAUCUGCAAGACGCGGAUGGGCCUAAUAAGGGCAGCCCCUCGUGGACGGUUGUCGUGGUACUAUCACAGAAACUGUCAAGGACCGACCAACUGGGCCUCGUCGGGCCUAGUUUUUUUCUUUUAGAAGAGCCGAACCGUCAUGGAUCACGACUUCUGCUGAUGUUGCAUAUGUGCCCCGUGUUUGGCCCACAUGUCAGUUGGAUUAAAAGAGUGCCUUGUGUCAAAAUAAAACUGAAAACAGUACCGAUUCCUCAAACAAGCUAGACAAAAAAAAGCAAAUCGCUCAAAUCCUGAUCCCGUCGGCGGCCGGCGCCGCCGGCGCCGUCGACGAUUACCCGGGCGAGGGUACUUAGAUCGGACCAGGGUGCUUAGAUCUGGCGAGGGCAUCAUCUUAAAGAUCCCUUCUGAGCCCGGAUUGCCCUCGCGAACUGCGGAAGAGGCAGCCACCGUCCGCCAUUGCUGGGCCGGCGAGCCAACUGCCGCCCUCCAUUGCCGCGCUGAAGAUCAAGCCACCACCCGCCGUUGCUGCAGCAUACACUCCCCUGCCUCAACGCCGGCCUGCAGCGAGGUACGUUUCCGGCAGAAAAAAGAACUCUGAAAUUUGUUCUGUUUUUGUUAGCUUGAGCAUACAGAGAGAAAUUAAGAUGGUUUUCCCAUCCUUAGUAUUGUUAUUCCGUUGUAGUUGAAUCGAUUGAGCUGAAUAUUAUUUGGAUUCUUAUUCCAUACAGAGAGAAAUUCCAGUGAUGCAGUUGAAAAUCAAAUUCCUAUAGCUCACAAUUCCAGUUACCUUUAGCUUAAUCUGCAAUUUAUUUGUACAUGCUUUAGCUUGAUGCAGUUGUGGCUCAAUUUGCCCAUGUACACAAGAUAAGAAGGCAAGAAGCAAUUAGUGAUUGGCCAAUAAAUAGUACAGGGGGCAUAAGAGCUUGGCUGCAGGCUGUAGUACUGAAUUGUUGUUUGCAACUACUGAACUAUGGUAUACUGGACUAGUGGGUGAGCCAUUGAAACAAAGUGGUUUAGAACUCAGUCUGUAGAGGUCAAAAUGUCCAUGUAAUGUUGCCACAGUAAGGAGAGAACAGUAGUUGAAAUGACAGUAAGAUAGACUAGUGGUUGAGUUUUGAGGCUGUAGUUUACCAUUCAGUGGUUAUAUUUGGCUAUCUGGAAAUAGUUUGUAUUUUACUUAGCAAUUUUUCUGUUGUAACUUGUAGCUAAUUUAUUUAUCUGACCAUCAAAAGUUGGUUCUUUUUCUGCAAUGCAGAUGGAUAGACGUUGGAUUCGUGGUACACUGUUCUGUCGUGAGUACAUUAAUGGUGUCAAAGAGUUUAUGAACCUCAUUCAAGAGAAAUUUAGUGAGGAUGAUAAAAUACUCUGCCCAUGUAGAGAAUGCCUUAAUCACAAAUACUGGCAUCAGGCCGUUGUGAACAAGCACAUAUUGACAAAUGGCAUGGAAACUACAUACACUCGUUGGAUAUAUCACGGAGAAGACUUCGAUGCAGAUGUUAUUGAACAUCCUGUUGAUGUGCAUGAGACCGAGGAUGGUAACAAUGGUGAUGACCGAUUUGAUGAGAUGUUUGGAGACCUAUGCAUAGCAGUACAACAAGGUCAGAAGGAAACUGAAGAUGAAGAUGGUAACAACGAUGCAAACCCUUCUGAGAAUGAGUCUUUUCUGGCGAACGUGAAGAAAGAGGCUAAGCGACACCUUUAUCAUGGUUGUACCAAGUUUUCAAGGUUCUCAUUUGUGGUGAAGCUUCUUCAUUUGAAGUCAUCCCAUAGGAUCACAAAUAGUGCAUUUACUGACAUAUUGAAGCUAUUGGCUGAAGCUUUCCCUCAACCAAAUACACUCCCAAAGUCGUAUGAGGAAGCAAAAAAUCUUCUGAAGGAAUUAGGCCUUGGGUAUGAGUCUAUACAUGUGUGCUUCAAUAACUGCGUUCUGUUCAGAAAGCAAUAUGCCAAGCAUGACAACUGCCCAGUUUGUGGCAUGUCAAGGUGGAAAGACCCUGCUAGAAAGAAGAUUCCACAGAAAGUUUUGAGGCAUUUCCCAUUGGUCCCUAGGCUGAAGAGGAUGUUCCUUUCCAGAAAAAUAGCAGAAGAAGCGCAGUGGCACAAGCUAAAGAGGUAGCCCAGCGAGAAGGAAAUGAGUCAUCCGGCCUACGGUGAUGCGUGGCAGGAUUUCGAUAAAAAAUAUAAAAAAAUUGCAGAAGAUGCCAGAAACAUGAGGCUUGGCAUUGCCACUGAUGGGUUCAAUCCUUUCGGAAACUUCAACACAAGCUAUAGUAUGUGGCCUGUAUUUGUUGUGCCAUACAACUUUCCACCUUGGGCAUGCAUGGAUCAGUCAAAUUUCAUGAUGGCUCUUCUAAUUCCAGGUCCCAAAUCACCUGGCAAGCACUUCGAUGUCUUUCUACAGCCACUUGUAGAAGAUUUACUUGAGCUUUGGAAGGGUGUGCGUACAUAUGAUGCUUAUAGCGGAAAAAUGUUUGAUCUUCAUGCUGCAGUUCUAUGGUGCAUUCACGAUCACCCAGCGCUGAGCACUCUUUCAGGGCGUACUACAAGAGGCUAUGCUGCAUGUAUUCAUUGUGACAAACACCCUCUUUCGUACGGCCUAAGGAGCAAAAAUGGAUAUAUUGGACACUACCGUUUUCUUCCAAAGGGACAUCGUUUGCGAAGAAACAAUGAAUUUGUUGGUCUUCAUGAACGCAAUGAUGAGCCGGGUAAAUUCUCCAAGGAAGAGCUGCAAGUAGAAUUCGAGAAGGUUAGACCCGGGCAACAACAAGAAAGCAGGAAAAGGCUCAUGUGCCAAUUUGGAGCCUGAGGGUUUGUUUGUGGGAUUUGGAGUAUUGGGGUGACUUGAAGCUGAGACAUAAUCUUGAUGUCAUGCACAUCGAGAAAAACAUAUGUGAAAACCUCAUUGGGACAAUUCUGGGCAUGGAGGGUAAGACAAAGGACACACUAAAUGCUAGGCUUGAUCUCCAGGAUUCGAAUAUUAAAGAGGAGCUGCAUUUGAGGAAGAAUGGAAACUCAUAUGAGAUGCCUCGGGCCCGAUAUACCUUGUCUAAAGAACAAGUUGUUGCAUUUUGUCAAUUUUUACGAGAGUUAAAGUUUCCAGAUGGGUUUGCUUCCAACAUUUCAAGAUGUACAAGUGCCGGCGGAACCAAGGUACAAGGCCUAAAAACACAUGAUUGUCAUAUUCUUUUGCAAAGAAUCUUACCCGCUGGCAUGAGAGGGUUUCUGGACAGUGAUAUAUAUGAAGCAAUAGCUGAGUUAGGCAAGUUUUUCAGGGAACUGUGCAGCAAAACUCUUAACAGGGAUGUGUUGGCUGGAAUGAAGAAAGAAAUCCCUGUAAUUNNNNNNNNNNNNNNNNNNNNNNNNNNNNNNNNNNNNNNNNNNNNNNNNNNNNNNNNNNNNNNNNNNNNNNNNNNNNNNNNNNNNNNNNNNNNNNNNNNNNNNNNNNNNNNNNNNNNNNNNNNNNNNNNNNNNNNNNNNNNNNNNNNNAUUUACCCGAAGAGGCUUUGCUCCGAACCCGUACAAUAUGGGUGGAUGUACCCAGUUGAAAGGAGAUUGUAUACUUUAAAGCGAUAUGUGAGGAAUAGGGCACGUCCAGAAGGUUCAAUUGCUGAGUCAUACAUUGCCGAUGAAUGCCUGACAUUUUGCUCCAAGGUACAUGGAUGAUUCUGAAAUUAUAUUAAAUCGAGAAGCAAGAAAUAUAGGUUUCUCAGAUGAAGAAGCUUAUGGUGUUGAUGUUUUUGGGCAUGGAGUAAAUUUUACUUCAGGAUAUGAAUAUCAAUAUGUUAACGAGAAAAAAUAAUUUGAUCAGAUGAUGUGGUAUGUGUUGAACAAUUGUGGGCAAGCUCAGAAAUAUAUCGAGUAUGUUCUCACUUCUGAACUUGUGUAUGUUGCAUUUGUGUUGUACACAUGUGAUCUAUUGACUAAUAUGCUUUAUCUAAUUUGGCAGAAUGUUCAGAGAUGGGUUAAACAGAAAAGGGGUGCCAAAUGUUGAUAAAGAGCUUCGGAAAGAAUUUCAGACAUGUUUCAAGAACUAUGUUAGUUUCAUUCCCAUCUAGUUAUAAUUUUUGGUUGUUAGAUUUUACUACAGAUUCUAAUCUAUGUGUUUGUGCUUUGUAGAUGAUGAGGCUGCGGAUGAGCAUAGUGAAGAGGUAGACGAAGAUGUCUUUGCCUUGGCAUGCGGUCCUGAUCGGAGAGUCAGGAAAUACUCAUCGUGCAUAGUGAAUGGCAUUAGAUAUAGCACUGUUGACCGUGAUAGCAACAAGAGAUUGCAGAACAGUGGAGUCAUGGCCGAAGGUGAACAUAACGGUCAGGUCAUAGAUUUUUAUGGAACCUUGAAAGAGAUCAUUCAGUUGGACUACAACUUGGAUGACAGGUCAGUUGUUCUGUUUAAAUGUGACUGGUUUAAACUUGAUGGCAAGAAUACUGGGCUACGAAAUGAUCGUUUUUUUAAAAGCAUCAAUGUUGGAAGUUUAUGGUACAAGGACGAUUCUCUCAUUCUGGCUACUCGGGCUACAAAGGUCUUUUAUUUGCCAGACAUGAAGUAUGGGAAAAAUUGGCAAGUUGUGCAAACGUUUGAUCAUAGGCAUCUCUUCAAUAUUAGUGAAAAUGAGGGUGCACCUUUUGCUGGUCCUGCAUAUCAAGAGGAGGAGAGCUGUGAUGAGGCGAGGUAGGAGAACGUCGGUUUCUGACCUUACAUCUGAGAAGCCUUUGCAUAGAGACAAUGAGCAAGGCAUUAUUUUUGAAGCUGAUGUAGUUGCACGCUUGAUGAAAGAAAAAAGCACAGAAGUGUAUGAAGGUGGCAAUGAAGACGAAGAUGAUACAGGUCUGGAGUAUUGCAGCGAAGACGAAGGAGGUGGCAUGAUGGAUGUCGACAGCGAUGACGAGUAGAACUAACUGAUUUUGUGUCAGACUUCGGGGAAACUGACUUGCUGAAACAUACAGCAUGCCAUUUUUAUCAUCAUAGUAUGUUGUGUUUUUUUGUACUCUCGUGAUUAUGGAACAAUGUUGUUAGAAGAACUCACAGAGAGAUUUUCUGUUGGUCCUCGCUGGAUGUUGUUAUUCAGGGGCAAGUGUGUGCACUUUUGUGUUACUGAAAGAUAUUGCUAUAUUUGCCUACUGAUAUUUACUCUUGCCUAGUGCUGUUUACUGCAAGAUAUUGUUAUCUUUACCUACUGCUAUUUACUCUUGCUAUUUUAUGCACUACAUGAUGUUGUCCUGGAGUAUAUGAGAGUGAUUUUGUAGUCCUGGAUGAUGUACACUUGUUAUUCAGUACUGUGAUUCAGAGAUAUCAUGAAGUUGUACAGUGUAUUUUGGUGUGUGCUAUUCUGAACUUUUCAGUUCAGUAUUGUUGUAAUCAGUUCCAAAUUCAGAGAUGUCAUCAAGCAACCCCAAGCAAGAGAGCAGUUCUGGCCGCGUAACUUAGCAGAAUUACACACCUUACUACCCUAGCCAUGUGCCCAAAACCUCUGGACAAAAUACCCUGUGCAAGGCCAUUGCAUCAACCAUCAAAGUUUGCUGCAGGAACUGAUUUUCAUCAAAGCAGUGCAUCUAUCCUUAGCCAUUGGUCUCUAUCUCGUUUGCAUACUCUAAUUGAGCACAGAGGCAUGCUGUGACACGGUCGGUCUAUGAAACAAAUACAUAGAGAGGGAGAGCGCGUGGUGACCACUGACCAAGCAUGCCAUAACGGUGCUCUGUGCGUCGGCCCACGGCGCCACGAGCGACCCAGGCCCCGACUCGCCCAACCCUCUCGCCUGUAGACUGCUACCGCCCCCGCUAUCUUUCCCAACUUUUGGAGCCGACGGGAGAUGCUCCGCCGUGCCGGCCGCUGCCGGAAACCCUAGCCCACGGCCGCAGCUCUGCCUCGAGCUUCCCAAGACCGUCAGCUCCGUGCCCGAGCUCUUCGAUCGAGCUCUAGAAGUCCUAUACCUCCCUCCGCUCACUAUACCGUCACCAACGACGACCGCAUCGACGCCGGUGAGCCCAGCACCGCCGCCGUCGUGUUCCGGCCGGUGGCGUAUUUGUGAAAGCCGCGAUCUACGUGGCCCGUUCCUGUUUUUUUUUUUGGUUUAAAAAGAAAACAGUAAAUCUGUUGACCAUAAUUUGACCGGCUGUAAUUUUUUAACCACAAAUCCAAAUGACCUCAUUAUUUUUGUAACAUUUUAAAUUUGAACUCCUCUACAAGAUAGUGUAGGUAGCAUUUGUUGGCUCUAUGGUUAUAAAGGAAAAAUGCAAUUAUUCAAUUUAUUGAUAGAAGGAAUUGCUUUUCGAUGAACUGCACGGAGCCUGUUUGCCCUACUACAACCUCCGAGUCCACUCUCGUCUUCUUGUUCGGCUAUUCAGGUUCGCAACAUCGAUAUGGGCUGGCGAUCCCAAAACUGUACGUGUCUCCUCAUGUGUGGCGACGAACAUGUUUGUUGAUCAUCCCUUUAUCGCUCGGCGGGUGGCCCAGUGAUAAUAGCCUCUCCCUACUACAACAUCCGAGUGUGGGAAGCCACGGUCUGCUUGCCACCUUCUCAUGCUCCUCCCUUGCAUGCCAAGUGUCGUCAUACCAAUCCGAAGGUGCAAAGGGUAAUCAAGUUGACUAUCGUCUUCUUGUUUGGGUUUUCAGAUUCACAACAUCGACAUGGGCUGGCGAUCCCAAAACUAUACGUGUCUCCUCAUCUGCGGCGACGAACAUGUUUGAUGAUCAUCCCUUUAUCGCUCGGCGGGUGGCCCAGUGACAAUAACCUUCUCAUGCUCCUCCCUUGCAUGCCAAGUGUCGUCAUACCAAUCCGAAGGUGCAAGGGGCAAUCAAGUUGACUCUCGUCUUCUUGUUCAGGUAUUCAGAUUCACAAACGCCCGGGCAGGUCCUCCGGUCACUCACCGUUCAUAAAAAACCGACCCAGUCGGAGCACUCAAACAUGCCUCAAACGCCCGGGCUAACCGUACCCCUCAUAUCCCAUCCCAAAUGUAGGGCGGACAUGAGGCGGCCUAGGCAUGCCCGGGCGCAUCUGCCACGUCAGCCCGGCCCACCGCUGGCCCACCUCGACCCCACAAAAUCCCUCGUCCGGAAGAAACUCUAGAUCGCUCCGCUCCGCUCCCCGACGCUUCAGAGACGAGAAGGGGCUGAUGAUCCGUAUCGUGCUCGAGCGGUCGCGGCUCGAUACAUGCGGUGGCUCCGGGUACGGUACGACGCCACCUGCCGCCCGGUCUGCUUACUAAGUUCAUUCCAGUAGUACACAGUUCAGCUGGUUUACAUCAUGAUUCGGAAAAAAAUCAGCACGUAUGUCUUACUCAUUCUAGUAAUUACUUACAAAAAAUAGUGUACAAUCAAACAUAUGCCUUACUAAUUCUCUGGAAUGUUCUAAAUAUUGUUUGGCGCCAAGAAAACCCGCUCACAUGUACAAUUUUCAUUCCAACAGCGCCAAGCCAAAAGUCCACAGUCAUGAAUUGACACUAUUAUCCAUCAAGGUUCCUGACAAUUAGACACAACCACUUUACCACCAGUAACAAGAAAAGGGCAUGCUAGUAAUUUACACGCGAGAAAUUCCUAAUCCCCUCCGCACACCCGCCCCUAGCCGCAAAUCGCCAAAUCCCCUUCCCCCUUCCCCUUCCGCCUCCACCGCCGGCCACGGCUUCACCUCAUCCACCACCGAGCACGACUCCAUUACCUCUCCCACCGGCAAGAACGACUCCCUCCCUCCAUCUUCCACGCCCACCGCAACCGCGACCCCACCUCCACCGCUCGCCUCCACCCUCCGCCUCCACCGAACCCUAGAUCACCCCGUCACCCCCUCCACUGAACCCUAGAUUACCCCGUCACCUCCUUCACCGCUGAGCAAGAUUCCCCUCCCUCUUCCGCAUCCACCGCAGGUCACAGCCCCACCCCACUGCCGGCCAAGAAUCCUCCCCCCUCACCCUCUGCUCCAUCGAACCCUAGGACAUCUCCAGCAGCACACUGAUGGGGAAGAAGAUUGCAGCAAAGAGAUCCCGAGAACGCAAGAUAGCAGGUAUAUUCCUAACCCAACCCAAUACUUGGUUGUCUCCUGUUCGUUCGCAUGCAUGCAUAUUUGGGUGGUCAAACAGAGUUUUUCCUUGUUUUGAUUUCAAUUGCUAGUGCUUCUGGUUUAUUAGAGUUGGGUCUUGCGCUUUCAAGUGUAGAUCUGGGUCCCUAAUAGAUGCAAACUCAAUCACAAAAAAAUAGUAAUUUGUUACUAGAUACUGUUCUACACAUGGUAAUUUGUUUUCAUGUGUGUUAGAAUCACCACUACAUCCUAUGGAUGUGUUGCGCCUCCAAAAGUGCAUGAGAACAAUGCAAGGCUGCAAGAACUUGGACUUCCUACAUUAUCAUCAAUGUUUGCAAACAAAGCUAUCAUUUCACCUGAAAAAGAAAAGGCCAAGCAUAAUCGCGAUGAAUCUGAAGAUGAGUACCAUCCUAACGAGGACGAUACUAGUGAAGGAGACUCGUCUGAUGAUAAUUUAGUAGAUGAGAGGGAAGCACUGCAAGAAUUAAAGUCCAUACCAUCUCAUAGCUCAAAGUCGAAGGUGCUAAAAUCCUCCAUCUAGUCAUUCCUAGAUAUGUUGCUUGUUUGUAAUUGCAGCACAAUUUUUGUUACACUUUGUUGAUUAAACCAUGCUUUCAUUUUUAUCAAGGAUUGAACGACUGUAAGAAGAUAAGUCAGGAAGCUAAUAAGAAAAGAUCUGCCGCCAUGCCUCCUGGUGGAAUUAAGCCUCGUCCUCCUAAGAGAGUUCAUGCGAACAUCCCAAUGAAUGCGCGAGUUACAAGGUCGAACAAAAGAUUAUUACUUGAUGCUGAUGCAAUUCCUCAAACCGAAGGGCUGUCAGAUCCUAAACAAAAAACACCUGCCACCAUAAGCCAACUAUUUCUAUGCCUGAAGCGGAAGAAACUGUUCCCAACUCCGAUGACCACACACUUGGUGUUGAAGGCAAGUUGUACCAUCAUACUCAUCUAUUGUCUUAUGGGUUGAUAGCCCUGCUUAUUAGCUUUCAUUGCAUGAUUAUUAUACUCUGACUGGAUGUUUUUUUUAAAGAUCGCGACCAUGCCCAUUGUGAUGACGACUACUGGAUGACCAAUGGAGUUGAUCUCAUUGCCCAUCAUGGUGAUAGCAACUAGAUGGAUUGUGAAGCUGGUGGUACUGCCCAACCUUGUCAACAAACACAAACUGAACCUGACAAUGAUCCUGAAGGCAUGUUAUAAAUCCCAAAGUCUUUCUAGUAUAGUACUUGAGUUAUAGCAGUGGUACCUUUUGUUAAACUGAACUAACAAUUGGUAGAGCUUAAACCAGUACUUUAAAAUGAGACUGAAGCAUAUGAGCUUAAUUCGUAGAGCUUAAACCAAUCUUGAUUUUACCUUCUUUGUAGGGCCACAAUCCUAUGAUGAGACAAGGGAAAGGGGGCCCAAUAUUGGAAAAGGCCUGGAAAGGAUCAGACGACGCUUGGGGGCCAAACUGCCACUUGUCAUUCCAGAAGGGAGGUUAAGGCCAGAGGCACCUCUUCUUGCUGCAAAGUUUGCAACUGAAUGCAAUGUUACAGUCAGAGGCCAUGUGCCUGUGUUUAAGCACUGGAAGGAUUACAAGGACCCAGAGGGAAAUGUUCGAGAAGGGAUCUUCAAGAACUUUGUAGGCAAAGUUGGUGUAAGUACAUAGUUCAAGCCUUUCUCCCUCAAAUGGCUAGCAACCUGUCAAUUUUGUGCUAUUAUUUCAAUUAUUUGCAAUCAUGAGUCUUACUCAAGUUCUUCCAUCUGACUAGAACAAGUUUGAGAUGGACGUAAAAGCGGUGCCGGUUAGGAAGGCUUGUACACAAAUGUUGAAACGUGCGAUUCGCCAACAACGAUACAGGCUCAAGUAGAAGUAUUUAGAUCCUUUCCCACUCAAUUUGGUAACGAGAACAUCUUCGGUCGACUCGAUGAGUGAUGACCAGUGGAAUGAGCUUGUGGAAAGCUGGAAGGAUCCGAAAAAGAUGGUAUGUUUCUUCCUGGACACAAAUCUAUUGCAUUCUAGGAGUACCUGCUAAUCCACAAAGUGUCUUACGUUUAUUCAAUCUCUUGAUGCAGGGGAUAUCUAAAAUUAACAAAAAUAACCGUGAUCAAGUCAAGUUUCACCAAACUACUGGUUCACGCAGCUACCCUGUGCAAUGUGAUAUUCUGGUGAGUCAAAUAUGUAUCUAUGGAUGUGCAACCUGUUUAUGUGACAGUAACUGGCAACUAUUUGUUGGAAAUAUGCCCUAGAGGCAAUAAUAAAUUGGUUAUUAUUAUAUUUCCUUGUUCAUGAUAAUCGUUUAUUAUCCAUGCUAGAAUUGUAUUGAUAGGAAACUCAGAUACAUGUGUGGAUACAUAGACAACACCAUGUCCCUAGUAAGCCUCUAGUUGACUAGCUCGUUGAUCAAUAGAUGGUUACGGUUUCCUGACCAUGGACAUUGGAUGUCGUUGAUAACGGUAUCACAUCAUUAGGAGAAUGAUGUGAUGGACAAGACCCAAUCCUAAGCCUAGCACAAGAUCGUGUAGUUCGUUUGCUCAGAGCUUUUCUAAUGUCAAGUAUCAUUUCCUUAGACCAUGAGAUUGUGCAACUCCCGGAUACCGUAGGAAUGCUUUGGGUGUACCAAACGUCACAACGUAACUGGGUGGCUAUAAAGGUGCACUACAGGUAUCUCCGAAAGUGUCUGUUGGGUUGGCACGAAUCGAGACUGGGAUUUGUCACUCCAUGUAAACGGAGAGGUAUCUCUGGGCCCACUCGGUAGGACAUCAUCAUAAUGUGCACAAUGUGACCAAGGAGUUGAUCACGGGAUGAUGUGAGUUACGGAACGAGUAAAGAGACUUGCCGGUAACGAGAUUGAACAAGGUAUCGGGAUACCGACGAUCGAAUCUCGGGCAAGUAACAUACCGAUAGACAAAGGGAAUUGUAUACGGGAUUGAUUGAAUCCUCGACAUCGUGGUUCAUCCGAUGAGAUCAUCGAGGAGCAUGUGAGAGCCAACAUGGGUAUCCAGAUCCCGCUGUUGGUUAUUGACCGGAGAGUCGUCUCGGUCAUGUCUGCGUGUCUCCCGAACCCGUAGGGUCUACACACUUAAGGUUCGGUGACGCUAGGGUUGUAGAGAUAUUAGUAUGCGGUAACCCGAAAGUUGUUCGGAGUCCCGGAUGAGAUCCCGGACGUCACGAGGAGUUCCGGAAUGGUCCGGAGGUAAAGAUUUAUAUAUGGGAAGUCUUGUUUUGGUCGCCGGAAAAGUUUCGCACUUUAUCGGUAUUGUACCGGGAGUGCCGAAAGGGGUCCGGGGGUCCACCAAGGGGGUCCACCAGCCUCGGGGGGCCACAUGGGCUGUAGGGGGUGCGCCUUGGCCUAUAUGGGCCAAGGGCACCAGCCCCAAGUGGCCCAUGCGCCAAGAGAUAAGAAAAACGGAGAGUCCUAAAGGGGGAAGGCACCUCCGAGGUGCCUUGGGGAGGAAGGACUCCUCCCUGGCCGCACCCUUCCUUGGAGGAAGGGCCAAGGCUGCGCCCCCCCUCUCCCUUGGCCCUAUAUAUAGUGGGGGGGAGGGAGGGCAGCAAUAUCCUAGCCCCUGGCGCCUCCCUCUCCCUCCCGUGACACCUCUUCCUCCCGUUAGUGCUUGGCGAAGCCCUACCGGGAUCCCCGCUACUUCCACCACCACGCCGUCGUGCUGCUGGAUCUCCAUCAACCUCUCCUCCCCCCUUGCUGGAUCAAGAAGGAGGAGAUGUCGCUGCUCCGUACGUGUGUUGAACGCGGAGGUGCCGUCCGUUCGGCGCUAGGAUCAUCGGUGAUUUGGAUCACGACGAGUACGACUCCAUCAACCCCGUUCUCUUGAACGCUUCCGCUCGCGAUCUACAAGGGUAUGUAGAUGCACUCCCCUUCCCCUCGUUGCUAGAUUACUCCAUAGAUUGAUCUUGGUGAUGCGUAGAAAAUUUUGAAUUUCUGCUACGUUCCCCAACAGUGGUAUUAGAGCUAGGUCUAUGCGUAGUUUCUAUGCACGAGUAGAACACAAAGUAGUUGUGGGCGUAGAUGUUGCCAAUUCUUCUUGCCGCUACUAGUCUUAUCUUGUUUCGGCGGCAUUGUGGGAUGAAGCGGCCCGGACCGACCUUACACGUACGCUUACGUGAGACAGGUUCCACCGACUGACAUGCACUAGUUGCAUAAGGUGGCUAGCGGGUGUCUGUCUCUCCCACUUUAGUCGGAACGGAUUCGAUGAAAAGGGUCCUUAUGAAGGGUAAAUAGAAAUUGGCAUAUCACGUUGUGGUUUUACGUAGGUAAGAAACGUUCUUGCUAGAAACCUAUACAAGCCACGUAAAAACUUGCAACAACAAUUAGAGGACGUCUAACUUGUUUUUGCAGCAUGUGUUAUGUGAUGUGAUAUGGCCAGAAGAUGUGAUGAAUGAUAUAUGUGAUGUAUGAGAUUGAUCAUAUUCUUGUAAUAGGAAUCACGACUUGCAUGUCGAUGAGUAUGACAACCGGCAGGAGCCAUAGGAGUUGUCUUUAUUUUUUGUAUGACCUGCGUGUCAUUGAAUAACGCCAUGUAAAUUACUUUACUUUAUUGCUAAGCGCGUUAGCCAUAGAAGUAGAAGUAAUUGUUGGCGUGACAACUUCAUGAAGACACAAUGAUGGAGAUCAUGAUGAUGGAGAUCAUGGUGUCAUGCCGGUGACAAAGAUGAUCAUGGUGCCCCGAAGAUGGAGAUCAAAGGAGCAAAAUGAUAUUGGCCAUAUCAUGUCACUAUUUGAUUGCAUGUGAUGUUUAUCAUGUUAUGCAUCUUAUUUGCUUAGAACGACGGUAGCUUAAAUAAGAUGACCCCUCACUAAAAUUUCAAGAGACGUGUUCCCCCUAACUGUGCACCGUUGCGAAGGUUCGUUGUUUCGAAGCACCACGUGAUGAUCGGGUGUGAUAGAUUCUAACGUUCGAAUACAACGGGUGUUGACGAGCCUAGCAUGUACAGACAUGUCCUCGGAACACAUGCGAAACACUUAGGUUGACUUGACGAGCCUAGCAUGUAUAGACAUGGCCUCGGAACACAAGAGACAGAAAGGUCGAACAUGAGUCGUAUAGUAGAUACGAUCAACAUGGAGAUGUUCACCGAUGAUGACUAGUCUGUCUCACGUGAUGAUCGGACACGGCCUAGUUUGACUCGGAUCAUGUAUCACUUAGAUGACUAGAGGGAUGUCUAUCUGAGUGGGAGUUCAAUAAUCAGAUGAACUUCAUUAUCAUGAACAUAGUCAAAAGGUCUUUACAAAUUAUGUCAUACGCUUUAGUUCUACUGUUUAAGAUAUGUUCCUAGAGAAAAUUUAGUUGAAAGUUGGUAGUAGCAAUUAUGCGGACUGGGUCCGUAAACUGAGGAUUGUCCUCAUUGCUGCACCGCUCGGUGUGCUGAACCUCAGCGUCGUCUGUAGAUGUUACGAAACAUCUGACAUACACGUUUUGAUGACUACGUGAUAGUUCAGUGCGUAAUGCUAACGGUUUAGAAUGGUGGCACCAGAGACGUUUUUGAAACGUCGCAGAACAUGUGAGAUGUUCCGAAGACUGAAAUUGGGAUUUCAGACUAGUGCCCACGUCAAGAGGUAUGAGACCUCUGACAAGUUUCUUAAGCCUGCAAACUAAGGGAGAAAAGCUCAAUCGUUGAGCAUGUGCUCAGAUUGUCUGAGUACUACAAUCGCUUGAAUCGAGUGGGAGUUAAUCUUCCAGAUGAGAUAGUGAUGGUUCUCCAUAAUCACUGCCACCAAGCUAUUAGAGCUUCGUGAUGAACUAUAAAUAUCAAGGAUAGAUGAUGAUCCUUGAGCAACUCGCGAUGUUUGACACCGCGAAAGUAGAAAUCAAGAAGGAGCAUCAAUUGUUGAUGGUUAGUAAAACCACUAGUUUCUACAAGGGCAAAAGGGAUACUUCAUGAAACAGCAAAUCAUUUGCUGCUCUAGUGAAGAAUCCCAAGGUUGAACCCAAACCCGAGACUAAGUGCUUCUGUAAUGAGGGGAACGGUCACUGAAGCGGAACUACCCUAGAUACUUGGUAGAUGAGAAGGCAGGCAAGGUCGACAGAAGUAUAUAGGAUAUACAUUAUAUGAAUGUGUACUUUACUAGUACUCCAAGCAGCACCAGGGUAUUAGAUACCGGUUCGAUUGCUAAGUGUUAGUAACUCGAAAUAAAAGCUGCGGAAUAAACGGAGACUAGCUAAAGGUGAGAUGGCGAUAUGUGUUGGAAGUGUUUCCAAGGUUGAUGUGAUCAAGCAUCGCAUGCUCCCUCUACCAUCGAGAUUUGGUGUUUGCGUUGAGCAUGAUUGGAUUAUGUUUAUCGCAAUACGGUUAUUCAAUUAAGGAGAAUAAUGGUUACUCUGUUUAUUUGAAUAAUACCUUCAAUGGUCUUGCACCUAAAAUGAAUCUCGAUCGUAGUGAUACACAUGUUCGUGCCAAAAGAUAUAAAAUAGUAAUGAUAGUUCCACACACUUGUGGCACUGCCAUUUGAGUCAUAUUGGUAUAGAACGCAUGAAGAAGAUCCAUGUAGAUGGAUCUUUGGACUCAGUCGUUUUUGAAAAGAUUGAGGCAUGCGAACCAUGUCUAUUGGUAUAUAUGCAUGAAGAAACUCCAUGCAGAUGGAUCGUUUGGACUCACUUGAUUUUGAAUCACUUGAGACAUGCAAAUCAUACCACAUGGGCAAGAUGACUGAAAGGCCUCGUUUUCAGUAAGAUGGAACAAGAGUGCAACUUAUUGGAAGUAAUAAAUUUUGAUGUAUGCAGUCCAAUGAGUGCUGAGGAAUGCAGUGGAUAUCGUUAUGUUCUUACUUCACAGAUGGUUUGAGUAGAUGCUGAGUGUAUUUACUUGAUGAAACACAAGUCUGAAUUAUUGAAAGGUUCAAGUAAUUUCAGAGUGAAGUUGAAGAUCGUCGUGACAAGAGGAUAAAAUGUCUGUGAUAUGAUCAUAGAGAUGGGUAUCUGAGUUACGAGUUUGGCACACAAUUAAGACAUUGUGGAAAGUGUUUCACAAUUAAUACCGCCUGGAACACCAUAGUGUGAUGGUGUGUCCGAACAUCAUAGCUGCACCCUAUUGGAUAUGGUGCAUACCAUGAUGUUUCUUAUCGAAUUACCACUAUCGUUUAUGGGUUAGGCAUUAGAGACAACCGCAUUCACUUUAAAUAGGGCACCACGCAAUUCCGUUGAGACGACACCGUUUAGAGAAACCUAAGUUGUCGUUUCUUAAAAGUUUGGGGCUGCGAUGCUUAUGUGAAAAAGUUUCAGGCUGAUAAGCUCGAACCCAAAGCGGAUAAAUGCAUCUUCAUAGAAUACCCAAAACAGUUGGGUAUACCUCCUAUUUCAGAUCUGGAAGCAAAAGUAAUUGCUUCUAGAAACAAGUCCUUUCUCGAGGAAAAGUUUCUCUCGAAAGAAUUGAGUGGGAGGAUGGUGGAGACUUGAUAAGGUUAUUGAACCGUCACUUCAACUAGUGUGUAGCAGUACACAGGAAGUUGUUCCUGUGGCACCUACACCAAUUGAAGUGGAAGCUUAUGAUAGUGAUCAUGAAACUUCGGAUCAAGUCACUACCAAACCUCGUAGGACGACGAGGAUGCGUGCUACUUCAGAGUGGUACGUGAUCCUGUCUUAGAUAUCAUAUUGUUAGACAAUACUGAACCUACGAGCUAUGGAGAAGCGAUGGUGGGCCCAUAUUCCGACAAAUGGUUAGAAGCCAUGAAAUCCGAGAUAAAUGGAUCUUUAAGAAGAAGACGGACAUGGACGGUAAUGUUACCGUCUAUGAAGCUCGACUUGUGGCAAAGAGUAUUUCCACAAGUUCAAGGAGUUGACUACAAUGAGAUUUUCUCAUCCGUAGCAAUGCUUAAGUCCGUCGGAAUCAUGUUAGCAUUAGCUGCAUUUAUGAAAUCUGGCAGAUGGAUGUCAAAAACAAGUUUCCUUAUCAGUUUUCGUAAGGAAAGGUUGUAUGUGAUACAAUCAGAAAGGUUUUGUCGAUCCUAAGGAUGCUAAAAGGUAUGCUAGCUCCAGCGAUCCUUCCAUGGACUAGACCAACCAUCUCGGAGUCGGAAUAUACGCUUUGAUGGAGUGAUCAAAGUUUUUGGGUUUAUACAAAGUUUGUUAGAAACUUGUAUUUACAAUAAAGUGAGUGGGAGCGCUACAACAUUUCUGAUAAGUAUAUGUGAAUGACAUAUUGUUGAUCCGAAAUGAUGUAAAAUUUCUGGAAAGCAUAAAUCGUUGUUUGAAAGGAGUUUUUCAAAGGAAGACCUGGAUAAAGCUGCUUACAUAUUGGGCAUCAAGAUCUAUAGAGAUAGAUCAAAACGCCCGAUGAUACUUUCAAAGAACGCACACCUUGACAUGAUUUUGAAAGAGUUCAAAAUAGAUCAGCAAAGAAGGAGUUCUUGGCUGUGUUACAAGGUGUGAAUAUUGAGUAAGACUCAAGACCUGACCACAGCAGAAGAGAGAGAAAGGAUGAAGGUCGUCCCCUAUGCUUUAGACGUAGGCUCUACAGUAUGCUAUGCUGUGUACCACACAUGGAGUGUGCCUUGCCAUGAGUUGGUCAAGGGGUACAAUAGUGAUCCGGGAAUGGAUCACAUGACAGCGGUCGAACUUAUCCUUAGUAUCUAGUGGACUAAGGAAUUUUCUCGAUUAUGGAGGUGAAAAGGAGUUCGUUGUAAAGGGUUACGUCGAUGCGAACUUUGACACUAAUCCGGAUGACUCUGAGUAGUAAACCGGAUUCGUAUAGUAGAGCAAUUAUUUGAAAUGGCUCCAAAUAGCGCGUGGUAGCAUCCACAAGAUGACAUAGAUAUUCGUAAAGCACACACGGAUCUGAAAGGUUCAGACCCGUUGAUUAAUAACCUCUCUCACAAGCAUAACAUGAUCAAACCAGAACUCAUUGAGUGUUAAUCACAUAGUGAUGUGAACUAGAUUGUUGACUCUAGUAAACUCUUUGGAUGUUGGUCACAUGGUGAUGUGACAUGUCAGUGUUAAUCACAUGGUGAUGUGAACUAGAUUAUUGACUCUAGUGCAAGUGGGAGACUGUUGGAAAUAUGCCCUAGAGGCAAUAAUAAAUUGGUUAUUAUUAUAUUUCCUUGUUCAUGAUAAUCGUUUAUUAUCCAUGCUAGAAUUGUAUUGAUAGGAAACUCAGAUACAUGUGUGGAUACAUAGACAACACCAUGUCCCUAGUAAGCCUCUAGUUGACUAGUUCGUUGAUCAAUAGAUGGUUACGGUUUCCUGACCAUGGACAUUGGAUGUCGUUGAUAACGGGAUCACAUCAUUAGGAGAAUGAUGUGAUGGACAAGACCCAAUCCUAAGCCUAGCACAAGAUCGUGUAGUUCGUUUGCUCAGAGCUUUUCUAAUGUCAAGUAUCAUUUCCUUAGACCAUGAGAUUGUGCAACUCCCGGAUACCGUAGGAAUGCUUUGGGUGUACCAAACGUCACAACGUAACUGGGUGGCUAUAAAGGUGCACUACAGGUAUCUCCGAAAGUGUCUGUUGGGUUGGCACGAAUCGAGACUGGGAUUUUUCACUCCGUGUAAACGGAGAGGUAUCUCUGGGCCCACUCGGUAGGACAUCAUCAUAAUGUGCACAAUGUGACCAAGGAGUUGAUCACGGGAUGAUGUGAGUUACGGAACGAGUAAAGAGACUUGCCGGUAACGAGAUUGAACAAGGUAUCGGGAUACCGACGAUCGAAUCUCGGGCAAGUAACAUACCGAUAGACAAAGGGAAUUGUAUACGGGAUUGAUUGAAUCCUCGACAUCGUGGUUCAUCCGAUGAGAUCAUCGAGGAGCAUGUGGGAGCCAACAUGGGUAUCCAGAUCCCGCUGUUGGUUAUUGACCGGAGAGUCGUCUCGGUCAUGUCUGCGUGUCUCCCGAACCCGUAGGGUCUACACACUUAAGGUUCGGUGACGCUAGGGUUGUAGAGAUAUUAGUAUGCGGUAACCCGAAAGUUGUUCGGAGUCCCGGAUGAGAUCCCGGACGUCACCAGGAGUUCCGGAAUGGUCCGGAGGUAAAGAUUUAUAUAUGGGAAGUCUUGUUUUGGUCGCCGAAAAAGUUUCGCACUUUAUCGGUAUUGUACCGGGAGUGCCGAAAGGGGUCCGGGGGUCCACCAAGGGGGUCCACCAGCCCCGGGGGGGGGCACAUGGGCUGUAGGGGGUGCGCCUUGGCCUAUAUGGGCCAAGGGCACCAGCCCCAAGAGGCCUAUGCGCCAAGAGAUAAGAAAAACGGAGAGUCCUAAAGGGGGAAGGCACCUCCGAGGUGCCUUGGGGAGGAAGGACUCCUCCCUGGCCGCACCCUUCCUUGGAGGAAGGGCCAAGGCUGCGCCCCCCUCUCCCUUGGCCCUAUAUAUAGUGGGGGGGAGGGAGGGCAGCAAUAUCCUAGCCCCUGGCGCCUCCCUCUCCCUCCCGUGACACCUCUCCCCCCCGUUAGUGCUUGGCGAAGCCCUACCGGGAUCCCCGCUACUUCCACCACCACGCUGUCGUGCUGCUGGAUCUCCAUCAACCUCUCCUCCCCCCUUGCUGGAUCAACAAGGAGGAGACGUCACUGCUCCGUACGUGUGUUGAACGCGUAGGUGCCGUCCGUUCGGCGCUAGGAUCAUUGAUGAUUUGGAUCACGACGAGUACGACUCCAUCAACCCCGUUCUCUUGAACGCUUCCGCUCGCGAUCUACAAGGGUAUGUAGAUGCACUCCCCUUCCCCUCGUUGCUAGAUUACUCCAUAGAUUGAUCUUGGUGAUGCGUAGAAAAUUUUGAAUUUCUGCUACGUUCCCCAACACUAUUUUCAUGAGAUUUUUCUGCGUGAUCUUGAGAAAUGUUAUUGACCAUAGGUUCAUGAAAACAUUACCAUGGCGGCUAUGGUUGUUGUUGUCUAUAUUAAUUUUUCAUUCUAGCAUGCUAAGGGUCAGCAUUUUCGGCUCGAAAUAUAGCUGACCUAUGAUGUUCCUGCUAUUGUUCUUGUAUACAUUAAUUUCUGAUCCUAUACUUUAUUAUGCACGAUUGUUUCUUAGUUUGCUAGCAGUAAUGAAUAUAACUCUAUAUGAUGAUCCAUGCUCCCUUUGCUUCAACCAUUACAUGUAAUGGUGUAUCUCAUCCUGAAUAACUAAAUACAAGUUCAAUAUUGGUACUAUACAUGCUGUUUCUUCUCAAAUGUAAGCUUGCUGCAUAUCUGUUGUUUUCAGGGAGAAAAAUACAAGGAUAAAGAACUCACUGCACUGGAUUUAUUCAAUGAGUGCCACUAUAGCAGCAAAAAGAAAGGCUACACCGAUGCUGUGCAAGCUGCAAUUGUAAGUCAGCUUUCAAAGACUACCAACCAUCAAAAUUUUAACCUUUUGAUAUAGAUCUAGUAGUAGGUAAAUAAGUGAAAAAUACUUGCUAUCUUUUGUCCUAAUGCUAAAAUACUUGCCAUGUUCCGUCCUUGUGCUAUAAUACUUGCCACGGUAUGUCCUUGUGUUAAAGUACUUGCAUGAUACAUGAAGUGACUAGAGCACAACUACAUUUCUAAAUCUGUACAUGGAAAUAUGGCAGACAUAAAGGGAAAUAACCUAUUUGUCUCCUCUUGUGCUUUGCUAGACUGAAAUGGAAAACAAGGCCUCUCAACCUACAGAAGAUGGCCAACAAUCAAACUCUUCAACCAAGGCUGUUGCUGAAGUGCUUGCUGAGCACACUAAGAAGCCAAUGUUUCUUAAGCAUGUGGGGAUCCAACACGUGCAUGAGAGAUCCAGUCGUAGCGAAGGUGAAGCAGAAGUGGACUAGAAGAGGGAAAGUGCUGAGCUUCGGAUGCUUGUUCAAACCUUGACCAAUCACUUAAAGGAAUCAGAAGAAGCAAGGACCAAGCAAGAAGAGGAGAACAGGAAAAAGCAAGCUGAGAUGGAUGCUAAAAUAGAGUUUUUGCUAAAGCAGAUGCAAUCAAGAUCAGCUCAAGGGUAAGUUUGUCCAAACAAAAUACUGUUGGAAGCUGUGAAAGUGAUAUAGCGCUGGAACCUGCCUUUCCCUAGAAGUAAUUUUGUAGGGAAAACUGCCUCUGAUGUUGGUGGAUGCAAAACUGGAUGCAUUUUGCUGUUUGAUGGAAGUUGUGGUGGACGUGUUAUGCUGGAUGGUUAGUGCAUCUGCACGUGGAAGUUUAAUUAUGUUGGAUAUGUAAUGUUGGAUCAGUACUUAUCUUAUUUUUAUCAUUUAUGCUUUGUGGUAUUGUGCUUCUUUUCUGUACAUUUCAAGUUGUUCUAUACCAAAUGAACAUAUUUCAUUAUCAUGGGACAAAAUUGGUUGCUGAAACGAAUUAACAAUUAUGGGAAAAAACACUAAUGGGAUGGAUUGGUAAAAAAUAAAUGGGCCGACAGAAAUCAGCAUACUGGACCAGCACAAACAAUCUAACAGAUAAAUCUUUUUAAAAAUGGGCUGGACAUAAAUGACCGGGCCAAACCUGGAGAAAUAUGCGAUAAUAUGCCUUAAAACAAAUUGGGCUUACAGCCUGGCUGGACAAAAAAACUUGGCCAAAACCAUAUUGGGCCAAAGGCAGAUCGGGCUUAAAUGAUGCCACGUCAGAUCCACGUGGACGCAACGGCAGAUUCCCUUCAUGCGUAUCUGUGACGGAUCUGCCCGUCACCGAAUUCAGGGCCCGGGCCGGUCCUAACGGAGCUUGGGGCCUGAUCCAUGACGGGCUUAGACCGUCACUAAUCUGUGACGGAUGAGCUGUUCGUCAUUGAACGUACGGCUGAAGAAUUAUGAUGCGCGAUACAUGACAGAUUUUCAGACUGUCACAGACGCCAACGUGUGACGGAAUUUUGCAGACCUGUGACAGUUUAGUUCUGUCACAGAUUAACAGAUUUCUUGUAGUGGAGACGGAAAGCCUUGAUCGAUGAACAUACUUGGACCGGGAAUGAUACCCUAGAAGUGCAGGCCGUCGAAUCACUAUAUCUUCACCAUUUGCCGAUGAAAGAUUUCACCUCCACAAAGAAUCAGACCAACAAAAAAGGCUUGACACAACAUAAACUCAUCAUAUCUGAAUAAUCGAAUCUGCGAGGACAGAAAACUCUCUAAUCUCCUAGCAACGCCAAAAGAACAAGAGGAGAUUUAUUCUCACAACACUAUUAUGAUCACUGGACGAUGGCGAAGGACACAGAGGUCUUGAAGAUCCGAGGUCCCCCCACCUCCCAGCGCCAAGAUAGCAGCCGGAGGCGAGGGGACCUAAAUUUCUCAGAUGACGACGGCGGCGGCACGAGAAACCCUAACAAUAGAUAGGCCAAACGAGUAAUAAUGGGCUGGCCCAAUAGAUAGUAGGACAGUAGAAGCAACUAAGAUCCAGUUUAGAGGACCUUCCAGCAGAUUCCAGUCUAGUCUUCUUUUAUGGAUUUUUCGGCUUUCAUUUUCUCCUUUUUUUUUCAAAUGUAUGAAAAUUUCAAACUUUGUUAGAUUUUUUCAAAAAAUAUUUGUAAAUUUAAAAUUUUGUUUGGAAAUGGAAAAUGUUCGGGAUUUAGAAAAACAGUUUUUCCAAAAAUGCUUGGAAAAUUCAAAAAAAAAAUGUACGUGCCGAACUUGGUGCUUGGCUGGGUGUACGUGCAGGACUGUGUGCCCAGCUGGGCUUGCACAUCCCGCUCCGAGUAAUCCACCUGCCCAUCCUCGUUGCAGCCUCCGCCUUCGCCUCUACCUUCGUCAUGGAUCAUCUCCAAUAUAUGUCUGUCUGCGUGAACAUACACCGGCUCACCCAGUUGAGACGUACCGGCGUAUAGAAAGCGGGUACCGAGUUGUUCCACGUCCGACAGAGGUGACGAGUCAGGGAAAUGGAGCGUGACGUGUUGACGUCGACGCAAAACAGCACGUACCUGGCGACGGAGGCCCGGCCGGCUAAGCUACUUGGUGGCGUAGAAGUAGGGCGGCAGAUAUUGUUCCGGCCAGGACGCCGUGUGCAUGGUCGGCUGCUGCAGCGGUGCCAUUUGCCCCCGUGCAUGCCCGACCCCUGCAACCCAUCACCAGCUCCGGUCGCCCCCACCGCCCCUAUUGUCAGCAUGUUGAUCCUUUGCCUUCUUUUUUAGGCAACGAGCUUGUCGUGUCCCCGAUUUGAUCCUGCAGGCCUCUGCUUUCUGUGGAUCCUCCACCUCCACCGGUCCGAUAACUCGUGAGUGGGUCCAGUUAGGGAAAUGGAGCGCGACGCGUUGACGUCGAGCAAAACAAUACGCACCCGGCGACGGAGGCCCGGGACUACUGUUGUCGGCUAAGCUGCUUGGUGGCGUAGAAGUAGGGCGGCAUAUAUUGUCUCGGCCAGGACGCCGUGUGCAUGGUCGGCUGCUUCGGCGGUGCCACGUGCCCCCGGGUAUGCCCGACCCCUGCACCCCAUCACCAGCUCCGGUCGCCCCCACCGCCCUUAUUGUCGGCAUGUUGAUCCUUUGCCUUCCUUUUUAGGCAACGAGCUUAUCAUGUUCCCAAUUUGAUCCUCUAGGCCUCUGCUUUCUAUGGAUCCUCCACCUUCGCCGGCCUGACAACUCGUGAGCGGGUCUAAUCAGGGAAAUGGAGUGCGCCGCGUUGACGUCGAUGCUAAACAGCACGACCCGGCGACGGAGUCCUGGGACUACUGUUAUCGGCUAAGCUGCUUGGUGGCGUAGAAGUAGGGCGGCAGAUAUUGUUCCGGCCAGGACGCUGUGUGCAUGGUCGGCUGCUGUGGCGGUGCCACGUGCCCCCGGGCAUGCCCAACUGUGACGCCCCCGAUUCAACCGUACACUAAUCAUACACGCAAACGUGUACGAUCAAGAUCAGGGACUCACGGGAAGAUAUCACAACACAACUCUAAACACAAAUUGAAAAGAUCCAAGCUUCAUAUUACAAGCCAGGGGCCUCGAGGGCUCGAAUACAUAGCUCGAUACAUAAGCGAGUCAGCGGAAUCAACAAUAUCUGAGUACAGACAUAAGUUAAACAAGUUUUGCCUUAAGAAGGCUAGCACAAACAUCAACGAUCGAAGAGGCAAGGCCUCCUGCUUGGGACCUCCUAACUACUCCUAGUCGUCGGCGGUCUCCACGUAGUAGUGGGCACCCUCAGGGUGGUAGUAGUAGUCGACUGGGGUGGCAUCUGGCUCCUGGGAUCCACCAUCUGGUUGCGACAACCAGAAAGAAGAAAGAAGGUGAUACGUCCAUUUUGCAUCAUGCUUUUAUAUCGAUAUUUACUGCAUUAUGGGCUGUUAUUACACAUUAUGUCACAAUAUUUAUGCCUAUUCUCUCUUAUUUUAAAAGGUUUACAUAAGGAGGGAGAAUGCCGGCAGCUGGAAUUCUGGGCUGGAAAAGGAGAAAUAUUAGAGACCUAUUCUGCACAGCUCCAAAAGUCCUGAAACUCCACGAAAGUUAUUUUUGGAAAUAAUAAAAAAUACUGGAAGAAGAAUCUACCCCCUGGGGGCCUCCACCUGUCCACGAGGGUGGGAGGUGCGCCCUACCCCCUGGGCGCGCCCCCUGCCUCGUGGGCCCCCUGUUGGCCCUCCGGUGCCCAUCUUCUGCUAUAUGAAGUCUUUCGUCCGAAGAAAAAUCAGAAGCAAGCUUUCGGGACGAGACUCCGCCGCCACGAGGCGGAACCUUGGCGGAACCAAUCUAGGGCUCCGGCAGAGCUGUUCUGCCGGGGACACUUCCCUCUGGGAGGGGGAAAUCAUCGCCAUCGUCAUCACCAACGCUCCUCUCAUCGGGAGAGGGCAAUCUCCAUCAACAUCUUCACCAGCACCAUCUCCUCUCAAACCCUAGUUCAACUCUUGUAUCAAAUUCUUGUCUCUAAGUCUGGGAUUGGUACCUGUAGGUUGCUAGUAGUGUUGAUUACUCCUUGUAGUUGAUGCUAGUUGGUUUAUUUGGUGGAAGAUCAUAUGUUCAGAUCCUUUAUGCAUAUUAAUACUCCUCUUAUUAUGAACAUGAAUAUGCUUUGUGAGUAGUUACGUUUGUUCCUGAGGACAUGGGAGAAGUCUUGCUAUUAGUAGUCAUGUGAAUUUGGUAUUCGUUCUAUAUUUUGAUGAGAUGUAUGUUGUCUCUCCUCUAGUGGUGUUAUGUGAACGUCGACUACAUGACACUUCACCAUUAUUUGGGCCUAGAGGAAGGCAUUGGGAAGUAAUAAGUAGAUGAUGGGUUGCUAGAGUGAUAGAAGCUUAAACCCUAGUUUAUGCGUUGCUUCGUAAGGGGCUGAUUUGGAUCCAUAUGUUUCAUGCUAUGGUUAGGUUCACCUUAAUACUUCUUUUGUAGUUGCGGAUGCUUGCAAUAGGGGUUAAUCAUAAGUGGGAUGCUUGUCCAAGUAAGGACAGCACCCAAGCACCGGUCCACCCACAUAUCAAAUUAUCAAAGUACCAAACGCGAAUCAUAUGAACGUGAUGAAAACUAGCUUGACGAUAAUUCCCAUGUGUCCUCGGGAGCGCUUUUCUCCAUAUAAGAGUUUGUCCAGGCUUGUCCUUUGCUACAAAAAGGAUUGGGCCACCUUGCUGCACUUUAUUUACUUUUGUUACUUGUUGCUCAUUACCAACUAUCCUAUCACAAAAAUAUCUGUUACCUAUAAUUUCAGUGCUUGCAGAGAAUACCUUGCUGAAAACCGCUUAUCAUUUCCUUCUGCUCCUCGUUGGGUUCGACACUCUUACUUAUCGAAAGGACUAUGAUAGAUCCCCUAUACUUGUGGGUCAUCAAGACUCUUUUCUGGCGCCGUUGCCGGGGAGUGAAGCGCCUUUGGUAGGUGGAAUUUGGUAAGGAAAAAUUUAUAUAGUGUGCUGAAAUUUACUGUCACUUGUUACUAUGGAAAGUAAUCCUCUGAGGGGCUUGUUCGGGGUAUCUUCACCCCGACCAGUAGAACAAAGAGUUGCUCCACAACCUGCCGAACCUACUUAAAAUGAAAAUGUCUACUUUUAAAUUCCUUCAGGUAUGUUAGAAAAACUGCUAGCUAAUCCUUUUGCAGGAGAUGGAACAAUGCAUCCUGAUGAGCACCUAAUCUAUGUGGAUGAAGUUUGUGGAUUAUUUAAGCUUGCAGGUAUACCCGAUGAUGUUAUUAAGAAGAAGGUCUUCCCUUUAUCUUUGAAGGGAGAUGCAUUGACAUGUUAUAGGCUAUGUGAUGAUACGGGGUCAUGGAACUACAAACGAUUGAAAUUGGAAUUUCAUCAGAAGUUUUAUCAUAUGCAUCUUGUUCAUCAUGAUCGCAAUUAUAUAUAAUUUUUGGCCUCGCGAAGGAGAAAGCAUCGCUCAAGCUUGGGGGAGGCUUAAAUCAAUGUUAUAUUCAUGCCCCAAUCAUGAGCUCCCAAGAGAAGUAAUUAUUCAAAAAAAAUUAUGCUCGGCUUUCUGAUAACAAUCGCACCAUGCUCGAUACUUCUUGUGCUGGCUCUUUUAUGAUGAAGACUAUUGAAUUCAAAUGGGAUUUAUUGGAAAGAACUAAACGCAACUCUGAAGAUUGGGAUCUCGACGAAGGUAAGGAGUCAGGUAUGACACCUAAGUUUGAUUGUGUUAAAUCUUUUAUGGAUACCGAUGUUUUCCGUAAAUUUAGCACUAGAUAUGGACUUGACUCUGAGAUAGUAGCUUCUUUCUGUGAAUCUUUUGCUGCUUAUGUUGAUCUCCCUAAGGAGAAGUGGUUUCAAUAUCAUCCUCCCAUAGAAGUAAAAGUAGCUGCACCUAUUAAAGUUGAAGAAAAGACUAUAACUUAUAAGGAGAAGUGGUUUCAAUAUCAUCCUCCCAUAGAAGUAAAAGUAGCUGCACCUAUUAAAGUUGAAGAAAAGACUAUCACUUAUAAUGAUCCUAUUGUUCCUACUGCUUAUGUUGAAAAACCACCUUUCCCUUUUAGGAUAAAGGAUCAUGCUAAAGCUUCAACUGUGGUUCGUAAAAGCAAUAUUAGAACUUAUACACCUCCUGAGCAAGUUAAAGUUGAACCUAAUAUUGCUAUUGUUAAAUAUCUCUUGUCUGAUAAUAUUGAUGGGCAUGUUAUUUAUUUCUGUGAUGAAACUGCUAGAAUUGCCAAACCUUGUGCUAAAGAUAAACAUAGACCUGUGGUAGGCAUGCCUGUUAUUUCUGUUAAAAUAGGAGAUCAUUGUUAUCAUGGCUUGUGUGAUAUGGGUGCUAGUGCUAGUGCAAUACCUUUUGACUUAUACAAAGAAAUUAUGCAUGAUAUUGCACCUGCCGAGAUAGAAGAUAUUGAUGUUACCAUUAAGCUUGCCAAUAGAGAUACUAUUUCACCCAUGGGAAUUGUUAGAGAUGUUGAAGUCUUGUGUGGGAAAACUAAAUAUCCUGCUGAUUUUCUUGUUCUUGGUUCCCCACAAGAUAGCUUUUGUCCCAUUAUAUUUGGUAGACCCUUCUUGAACACUGUUAAUGCUAAGAUAGACUGCGAAAAGGAUGUUGUUACUAUUGUUUUGGGUGAUAUGUCUCAUGAGUUUAAUUUCUCUAAAUUUCGUAGACAACACCGUGAAGAGGAAUUGCCUAGUAAGGAUGAAAUUAUUGGUCUUGCUUCUAUUGCCGUGCCUCCUAGUGAUCCUUUAGAACAAUAUUUGCUAGACCAUGAAAAUGAUAUGUUUAUGAAUGAAAGAAGGGAAAUAGAUGAAGUAUUCUUUAAACAGGAACCCAUCCUGAAACACAAUUUGCCUGUUGAAAUCAUAGGGGAUCCUCCUCCACCCAAGGGUGAUCCCGUGUUUGAGCUUAAACCAUUGCCUGAUACCCUUAAAUAUGCUUAUCUUGAUGAGAAAAAGAUAUAUCCUGUUAUUAUUAGUGCUAACCUUUCAGAGCAUGAAGAAGAGACAUUAUUGAAAACUCUGAAGAAGCACCGUGCUACUAUUGGAUAUACUCUUGAUGAUCUUAAGGGCAUUACUCCCACUCUAUGUCAACAUAAAAUAAAUUUGGAGAAAGAUGCCAAACCAGUUCGUGAUCACCAACGACGGCUGAACCCUAAGAUGAAAGAAGUGGUAAGAAAGGAAAUACUAAAGCUCCUUGAGGCAGGUAUAAUUUAUCUCGUUGCUGAUAGUGAGUGGGUAAGUCCUGUCCAUUGUGUCCCUAAGAAGGGAGGUAUUACUGUCGUUCCUAAUGAUAAAGAUGAAUUGAUUCCGCAAAUAAUUAUUACAGGUUAUAGGAUGGUAAUUGAUUUCCGCAAACUAAAUAAAGCUACUAAAAAAGAUCAUUACCCCUUACCUUUUAUCGAUCAAAUGCUAGAAAGAUUAUCCAAACAUACACAUUUUUGCUUUCUAGAUGGUUAUUCUGGUUUCUCUCAAAUACCUGUGUCAGUCGAUGAUCAAUCAAAGACCACUUUUACUUGCCCUUUCGGUACUUUUGCUUAUAGACGUAUGCCUUUUGGUUUAUGUAAUGCACCUGCUACCUUUCAAAGAUGCAUCAUGGCUAUAUUCUCUGACUUUUGUGAAAAGAUUUGUGAGGUUUUCAUGGACGAUUUCUCCGUUUAUGGAUCCUCUUUUGAUGAUUGCUUGAGCAACCUUGAUCGAGUUUUGCAGAUAUGUGAAGAAACUAAUCUUGUCUUGAAUUGGGAAAAGUGCCACUUUAUGGUUAAUGAAGGUAUUGUCUUGGGGCAUAAAGUUUCUGAAAGAGGUAUUGAGGUUGAUAAAGCCAAGGUUGAUGCUAUUGAAAAGAUGCCAUGUCCCAAGGACAUCAAAGGUAUAAGAAGUUUCCUUGGUCAUGCCGGUUUUUAUAGGAGGUUCAUUAAGGACUUCUCGAAAAUCUCUCGGCCUCUGACUAAUUUAUUACAAAAAGAUAUACCAUUUGUCUUUGAUGAUGAUUGUGUAGAAGCAUUUGAAAUACUUAAGAAAGCAUUAAUUUCUGCACCUAUUGUUGAGCCACCUGAUUGGAAUUUACCUUUUGAAAUCAUGUGUAAUGCUAGUGAUUAUGCUGUAGGUGCUGUGCUAGGGCAAAGAGUUGAUAAGAAAUUAAAUGUUAUUCAAUAUGCUAGUAAGACUCUAGACAAUGCCCAGAGAAAUUAUGCUACUACUGAAAAAGAAUUCUUAGCAGUCGUAUUUGCUUGUGAUAAGUUUAGACCUUAUAUUGUUGAUUCUAAAGUAACUAUUCACACGGAUCAUGCUGCUAUUAAAUAUCUUAUGGAAAAGAAAGAUGCUAAACCUAGACUUAUUAGAUGGGUUCUCUUGCUACAAGAAUUUGAUUUGCAUAUUAUUGAUAGAAAGGGAGCUGAGAACCCCGUUGCAGACAACUUGUCUAGGCUAGAGAAUGUUCUUGAUGACCCACUACCUAUUGAUGAUAGCUUUCCUGAUGAACAAUUAAAUGUCAUAAAUGCUUCUCGUACUGCUCCAUGGUAUGCUGAUUAUGCUAAUUAUAUUGUUGCUAAAUUUAUACCACCUAGUUUCACAUACCAGCAAAAGAAAAAGUUUUUCUAUGAUUUGAGACAUUACUUUUGGGAUGACCCACAUCUUUAUAAAGAAGGAGUAGAUGGUGUUAUUAGAUGUUGUGUACGUGAGCAUGAACAGGAACAGAUCCUACGCAAGUGUCACUCCGAGGCUUAUGGAGGACACCACGCUGGAGAUAGAACUGCACAUAAGGUAUUGCAAUCCGGUUUUUAUUGGCCUACUCCAAGGAUGCCUGUAAGUUUGUCCUAUCUUGUGAUGAAUGUCAAAGAAUUGGUAAUAUUAGUAGACGUCAAGAAAUGCCUAUGAACUAUUCACUUGUUAUUGAACCAUUUGAUGUUUGGGGCUUUGAUUAUAUGGGACCUUUUCCUGCCUCUAAUGGAUAGACACAUAUUUUAGUUACUGUUGAUUACAUUACUAAGUGGGUAGAAGCUAUUCCAACUAGUAGUGCUGAUCAUAACACAUCUAUUAAAAUUCUUAAAGAAGUUAUUUUUCCGAGGUUUGGAGUCCCUAGAUAUUUAAUGACUGAUGGUGGUUCACAUUUUAUUCAUGGUGUUUUCUGUAAAAUGCUUGCUAAGUAUGAUGUUAAUCAUAGAAUUGCAUCUCCUUAUCACCCGCAGUCUAGUGGUCAAGUAGAAUUGAGUAAUAGAGAGCUCAAAUUAAUUUUGCAAAAGACUGUUAAUAGAUCUAGAAAGAAUUGGUCCAAGAAACUUGAUGACGCAUUAUGGGCCUAUAGAACUGCAUAUAAAAAUCCUAUGGGUAUGUCUCCGUAUAAAAUGGUUUAUGGAAAAGCAUGUCACUUACCUCUAGAACUAGAACAUAAGGCAUACUGGGCUAUUAAAUAGCUCAACUAUGUUUUCAAACUUGCUGGUGAGAAGAGGUUAUUUGACAUUAGCUCACUUGAUGAAUGGAGAACCCAAGCCUAUGAAAAUGCCAAGUUGUUUAAAGAAAAAGUUAAAAGAUGGCAUGACAAAAGGAUACAAAAGCAUGAGUUUAAUGUAGGUGAUUAUGUAUUGCUAUACAACUCUCGUUCAAGAUUUUUUGCAGGAAAACUUCUCUCUAAAUGGGAAGGCCCUUACGUUAUCGAGGAGGUCUAUCGUUCCGGUGCCAUAAAAAUCAACAACUUCGAAGGCACAAAUCUGAAGGUGGUGAACGGUCAAAGAAUUAAACAUUAUAUCUCAGGUAAUCCUAUUAAUGUUGAAACUAAUGUUAUUGAAACCGUAACCCCGGAGGAAUACAUAAGGGACACUUUCCGGAACGUUUCGGACUCUGAAAAGGAAUAGGUAUGUGGUACGGUAAGUAAACCGACUCCAAAACAGUUCUAAUGGCAAUAUUUCUCCAUUUUGGAAUAUUUAGAAAAAUAGAAAAAUAAGAAGCAGUCCGGGAAGGACACGAGGCCUCCACGAGGGUGGAGGGCGCGCCCUACCCCCCUGGGCGCGCCCCCUGGCUCGUGGGCACCUCGUGUGCUCUCCGGACUCCGUUUUCUUGCACGAUACGUAUUUUGGUCGGUAAAAAUUCAUUAUAUAUUACCCCGAAGGUUUUGACUCCCGUAUCACGCAAUUAUCCUCUGUUCUUGUUUCGAGCUGUUUUGCUGACAGAUCUAGAUCAUCAUGACGUCUCCAAGCGCCCCCAAGGACAAGUUUUUCGAGAAGGUCAUCAACCCCUACCUCGCGGAGGUGCUGCAACACCCUCAAACCAUUGAGAUGCAUGAUGGGUUGCUGCACAUCCGCGAUGUUGAGGGACCAAGGAGGACCGAAAGCGUGGAGACAAGGCUUGAAGCAAUGGAGCAACAAGGUUUCAAGUGCCAGGAGAUGGUGGAGCGUGGACUUGACUCCAAUCACAUAAUGAUCACGGAGUUCACCAACAACCACAAGCUGGAUGCCAAGGACAUUGGGGAGGCCAUUGUGACGCCCGGAUAAUUAAGCUACAGUAAUCCCCUGUUAAUGGUGCCAUAUCAUCGCAAUUAGUUUGCUAAACCUCACUUAAUCCAAACCGAGUUCAAAUUCAAAAAUUUAAAAUAAAGUCAAAACAGAAUUUCUUCAAAUUGCAAAAAACUAAAAUGUUGGAGAUGUUGAAAAUAUUCACUAGGGAAUUGUCAUGUAGAAACCAACAGUCUUAGACUCACAGAUAAAAUCUUAGGAAAAUAAUAAAUGGUCUAACAACAAUUAUUUUAGCCUUUUCAAAUAAACCAAUAAUUAAGCCUUUCAAAAUAAUCUGAAGAUUUGUGGGUGGUCCCUAAACGUUGUGCUUGAAUUAGGUGCUAAAUUCCAUUUAUUACAAAAGUCAUUUGGUACUAAACUAAAAUACUAAACAGUGGCAAAAUAGAAAACAGAAGAUAUAAAAGAGAAUUAAAGAAAGAAAAGAGAGGUGGACCUAAACUAUUGCUCUCUUUGACCCACCUAACUAAUGGCCGGCCCAACCGGCCAAGCCCACCCCCACUCCAUAUCCCCCACUACCCAAACCGAACCCUAGCCACCACUCCCACGUUCCCCACUCCCCCCUUCUCUCCCGAUCCCAUCUGGAUCGGGGCUGCAGAGCCGAACGACGCCACCGCGCCCCGACGCUCGACCCCGCCGCCGGAACCACGUCACCGUCGCCGGAGGCCACCUCGUCGGCCUGCCUCCCCUACGUCGCCUGAUCGUCCCCGUCGUCCUCCCCACACCCCGCGCCUCCCUGAGCGUGCUUCCCUUCAACGCUGUGAGCGAGCAUCGAAACCCCUCCUCUCUCUAUCUCCCUCCAUGUCCAGCGUUGUAGAUUGUCGUCCCCCGCCGCCACCGCAUCGACCUCCUCCCCCACCGUGCGCUCCCCGCCCCGUCCCCUGCUUCGCUUGCCGCACACCGCACGUCGCCGCGCUACCCGCCUCUGCUCCUCAUGCCGUCGUGCACACGCGCACCCGUCGCGGGCCCCGACCACGCGCCACCGUGGCCCUGCUACUGCUCCACCGUGCCCUCCCUCACAUGCCACCCGCUUCCCCGUUGCUGCCUGCCUCGCACGCCCGCUGCACGCGCCGCGCGCCAUCGACCUCCCCUGGCCGCCCGUCCGGUCGUACCCAUCGGCCGCGCCCACCACGGCCCCAGUCGCCCCCGCCUCUGCGCGCAGUCCAUGACCGCGUCGCCGGCGUCCACGCUCGCCGCGCGCUUCCGUGACCGUGGCCCUCGCGCGCUGGCUGCCGCUUGGGCUACGGCCUUGACCCCGCGCCCGCGCCCGUAAACCCGUCGCCCGCGCGCCCGCUAAGGCCUUCGGCCUAUGACAUAUGGGGCCGCCCCAUGAGAACGUUAAAAAAAUAUAAUAGAAAAUAAAUAAAUAAAUAAAUAAAUUAAAGAGUUAAUUAACUUAAUUAACUUGUGUUAGUUAAUCUAAUAACCUAAUUAGUCUAUUUAAUCUGUUAGGUUAGUAAAACAGUGUAUGACAAGGGGGCCCCACCCCCUGUUGACCAGUCAAAGUUUGACUGGUCAACUGGGACCCCUUGGACCCACAUGUCAGCUCCUCUGGCACACUUAUGUGUACCCAGAGCUGGGUGCACCUAGCAAUUCACAUUUAUUUCGAAUUAAAUUAAAUUCAGAAAAUGAAUAAAACUUUGAAAAAUAAUAUAAAAUAAUCUGUAGCUCGGAUGAAAAUACUUUGUACAUGAAAGUUGCUUAGAACGACGAGACGAAUCCGAAUACGUAGCCCGUUCGUCCACCACACAUCCCUAGCAUAGCAAACAUGCAACUUUCCCCCUCCGAUUCAUCUGUCCGAAAACACGAAACACUGGGAUACUUUCCCGGAUGUUUUCCCCCUUCGCCAGUAUCACCUCCUACUGCGUUAGGUCACCCCUAGCACUGCGUAUUGCCAUGUUAUGCUUUGUGUUGCUUUGAUUGCUCUGUUAUUUAUUGUGUUCCCCCUCCCUUACUUCUUUCCGAUAGACCCCGAGACCGCUGCCGAUACCCCGUGAUCGACUACAUCGACGACGACCCCUACUUGCCAGAGCAACCAGGCAAGCCCCCCCUUGAUCACCAGAUAUCGCCUAUUCUUCUCUAUACUGCUUGCAUUAGAGUAGUGUAGCAUGUUAUGCUUUCCGUUAAUCCUAUUCUGCUGCAUAGCCUGUCCUUGCUACUACUGUUGUUACCUUUACCUGCAAUCCUACAUGCUUAGUAUAGGAUGCUAGUAUUCCAUCUGUGGCCCUACAUUCUUGUCCGUCUGCCUUGCUAUACUAUCGGGCCGUGAUCACUCGGGAGGUAAUCACGGGUAUAUACUAUAUACUUUAUACAUGAUACAUGUGGUGACUAAAGUCGGGUCGACUCGUUGAGUACCCGCGGUUGAUUCACGGAUUGGGGGCUGGAAGGACAUACUUUCCCGACGGCCCUCCGUGUGGAUCUUUGUGGCGGAGCGACAGGGCAGGUUGAGACCGCCUAGGUGAGAGGUGGGCCUGGCCCUGGUCGGUGUCCGCGGUUACAUCAAUUAACACGCUUAACGAGAUCUUGGUAUUUGAUCUGAGUCUGGCCAUUUGGUCUAUACGCACUAACCAACCACGUGGGAAAGAUAUGGGCACUCGACGUCGUGGUAUCAGCCGAAGCCUUCGUGACGUCAGCGACUGAGCGGCGCGCGCCGGGUUGGACCGCGUAACGCAACUUCCUUUGAAAUGGAGGUUGCUAGGUCUGCUCUCCGGCCGCGUACGCAACGUGCAGGUGUGCAAUGGGCGAUGGGCCCAGACCCCUGCGCGCAUAGGAUUUAGACCGGCGUGCUGACCUCUCUGUUGU
rnacentral:lncRNA from 1 species